UAUAAUUUUCACUUUCAUAUUUUUCAGAUCCACACGUAAGUGACACGGCGGUGUAAGGAAAGGGCGUAGCUCGAUAGAUAGCGCCCUACCACUUUGUGACCAAGAUAGAUGUAUCCGUGGAUCUGUAUAGCUUAAGGGUAUUAAAAAUAAUGAAAGAAAAUGUAAUCAAAUUUGAUUGUAUUUGGAAGAAAAAAAAUGUAAAUAUAAUAUGAAUGUGACGAAUACUUGUAAUAGCAUAGUUGUUUUAUAUUUUUGAUACUUUCUUAUACAAUAUGUAUAUAAAUUUUGUUCAUAUAUAUUUGGAAUAUUUUGAAUUAUACUGAUUAUGACGUCUUGGGUGAAUAUGAAAAAUUCUGUCCGUUUGGCGGGUCUGGCACGUGUAGGACUCCUUCCAUCUAUUUGGAGAAAGGACGACGGGACACGACAGAAAAAUAAAUUCUAAAGUGGAACAUUCUAAUAUUUAUCGCCCUUUCUUUUGGGUCCGUCCUAAUUUAAGUUUUUUAAGAAUAAUGAUCAUUUUGUAUUCUUUAGCAUGGUAUCAAAGUAGAAAUUUAUGAGUUCUAGUUUCCGUUAGGCUCCUAUGAUUAUUUAAUUAAGCUUAUGUCUUAAGUCUCUUAAAAAGUUUCGAAAUUGGCUUUUUAUUCAAAAAGGAUGCUAAACUAGAUUAAUCCAAUCAUUUGCUGAACUUACAUGCCAAUAAAGUCUACUACUAGCUAGGUUGUGAAAUUAACAAGUGCUUAUAAGAGGCAAAUCAGUUUUAUUGAGUCACGACAAAUUUGAGUAAUGAUUAGAGACCAGAUCCCUGCAUAUCAAUCUCAAUAUCAACAUCACCUAUAUAUAAAUAUGGGGCAAUUGCUUAUAUAUUCCUGAAAAAUUUCUGAAUUUCAGAUUUACCCCUCUUAGAAGGCUAAUAUUAAAAAUACCUUUUUUACGUUCAACCUAUUUCUAAUAUAUCCCUAGGUUAAAAUCUGUUAAUGAACUCUGUUAUCUCUGUAAAAUUACUAUUUUGCCCUUUCAAAUAUAUCCUUCUGUCAUCACCGACUUUUUUUAUUUGUCCUUAAGUUAGGGCUACAAAAAGAAUUUUACUUUUUAAUUUUUUUAAAUAUACUCUUCUACCAUCACCAAUAUUUUUUAUUUGCCAUUAAGUUAAGGACAAAAGUGGUAUUUUAUUUUUUUUAAACUGUGGUAGAUAUUUAAUUCACGUUUAAUCCAAAUUAACUUAACGAGUGGUAACUGUAGGGAUAUUUUGGAAUAACGGAGAAAUAUAUAAGGGAUAUAUUAGAAAGAAAAAAAUAAAGAUAAAUAAAAUAUUUUUAAAUUUUUGAAGGGUAUAUAGGCAAUAAUCCCUAUAAAUAUAUGUCAUAAUAUAGUGCCAUCACUCUCUCUUAUCUCACUAUUAUUAUUUUAUGCUAUAAUAGUAAUUUCACUGUAAUAGUAUAUGUGGUCCCAAUGCUCUUUCAAAGGAUUUUGUUGUUAUUUUAUAGAAACAUAUGCAGCUUUUGGUCCAAAGCAAAUCGAUUGGCGACAUGUUGAUAGCCUUUCAAAAAGACUUUUUCAUUAGCUUCUCGUGUCACCAAUAUAUACUAGUUAAGCAACCCUGCGCGAAACUGUAAAAAGUCAAUACAAUAGUAAAUUAUUAAAAUUAUUAAUAUUAAUUUUUUUUCUAUUAUGCAUUAAUAUUUUUAAAUAUUAUUUAUUUUCGUAUUGAAUAAUUAAAAAUUAAAGAAUAAACUAAAGAAUGAAAUUAAAGUAUAUUUCUUUCUAAAAUUAUUUAAAUCUAAUAAGUAAAAUGAAUAAAUCGGUUUAAAAUAAAACAACAGCUCAUUACAGUAUUAAGAAAGAUAAAUAAUAUUUCUCUAUUAUCAUCAAGAUAGAAUUUAUAAGAAAAAAUAAAAAAAAACUAAGUGGAGUGAAAGUACUAUCUUUAGUAUAAUUAAUGAAGACGUUGUUUUAUUUUAAACCGAUUUAUUCAUUUUACUUAUUAGAUUUAAAUAUUUUUAGAAAGAAAUAUACUUUAAUUUUAUUCUUUAGUUUAUUCUUUAAUUUUUAAUUAUUCAAUACGAAAAUAAAUAAUAUUUAAAAAUAUUAAUGCAUAAUAGAAAAAAAAAGUAAUGUUAAUAAUUUUAAUAAUUUACUAUUAUAUUGACUUUUUGCAGUUUCGCACAGGGGUUGCUUAACUAGUAUAUAUCGGUGACGCGAGAAGCUAAUGAAAAAGACUUUUUGAAAGGCUAUCAACAUGUCGCCAAUCGAUUUGCUUUGGACCAAAAUAAAAAAUAAAAAAAGGGAGGUACACAUACAACUAAUAAAAUAUUUGAUUCCUAAAUUUAAAUUAGCGAAGAAAUCAGUAGGUAAUUAUCAGAAACACAAAAAAUAUAACUAAUCAAAAGACAUGCGAAAUCAAAAUAAAUAUUUUUUACACUGUAAAAGAUUCAACUAUCAAAUAUUAUAUUUUUAUUAUAUAUAUUAAUCCUUAAAAAAUUAUUUGUGAACUAAAGUGAAAAACAUGCAAAGUUUAGAUAUUAGAGACCAAAAUAAAAAAGAGUGAAAAAAUUGGGACCCAAUGUGCAAUUAAUCCUUCAAAAAAUUGGUGUGGGCCCCACAACCUUUCAAAAUAAAGGGAGGUCUUUUCUUGGGUUCCAAAUUAGCGUAUAAAUAAAUAGAUUAUAAAUAAAUAUUGUGAAAGAGAGUGAGAGAGUGUGAGAGAGAGAAACAAAAAAAAAAAAGUGGGCCCCACAGGGCCCCCUGUCACGUCUCGGAUUACAGCGGAAGUCCGGAUUACGUCAACAGAUCCGCCGCAUGCACAAAGAUACACCUUAUACAUACGAAGCGUCAACAAAAUUAACUAAAAUCUAACAAUAAUAGGUAUCAGAGAAAAAUAAAACUAUAUACUAUAGUAACACUAUAACGAUUUACAAGCAUCACCACACUAGUCUUCAAAAUAGUACAACAUUUUUUACCAUUCCAAGUAUCAAAUAAUUGUACAGACUGCUCGCUAAUAGGUGAUCCAACUAUACAUUAAGAAGGGUAGGAGAUGCUAUCUAUCCACAAUCCCCUUAUCUAGAUCAGUCGCUGGUGUUGAAGGCUCUGAAAUAAAAUAUUAAAUAAGAAGGCAUGAGAACUAUAAUCAAUAGUUCCCAGUGGGUACGAUCAUCAACACUGACGGUCUACCACUAUGUCCAUAAGAUGCAAAAAUAGUAAAUACUGAGCAAUAUGAAAAAACAGGUACUAAUAUGAAUAAUUGCCGAAAAUAACUAUUACUAUCAUGCCUCUACAAUAUAGCUGAAAUUAUAAAUUAUAUUUUAUGGAUGCAUUAGUUAGAGAUUAAAUAAAAUACUACAAUAAUGCCUAAUCAUAGUGACCGACUCAACAGUCGAGUUUAGCCUACGCCGCCUCGUGUCCAGCACCCACCUACAGUGGUCUGCUACCACACAAGUUACUGUCUAGCCCAUGCCAUAAUAAUAUCUCAUAGCCCAAAUACCGAGUAUAGUAUCACUAUCAAACUCAACAUAGCGUGCUGAUUGUGGUCAAAUGCAAUGAUCAAACAGAUCAUGAUAAUACUGUCAUAAUGUCUAAAAUACAGUUAUAGUCUACACUCUCUGUAGUUGUUUAUUGAUCUUCAGAAAAAUAUCAAAUAUAUAUAUAUCUCCAUUUACUCUACUAACAGGUAUCAAAGUACCGUAAUUAUCUCAACUAUAUCAAUAGUUCAUCUCACAGAUUAAAUAAUAUAAUAUGGAUAUAGAAAUUAGUCCGUCAAUUUUGACAACACGAAACUCACCUAUAACGCAAGUCCAAGAAAAUGAACGGUAAACGAGAUAGCAGCUACAACACUCUAAAAUAACUCGAAAAUUCCUCAUCAAGAUUACGCGAAAUCCGCUUCUAAAAUGUAUAAAAAAAAUCAGUUUCUAACUCUCAAUUUCUACCAAAUAUUUAGCAAAAAAAUCUAAACGAGAAAUAAUAAUAUUGUGAUACUAACUACAACGUCGAAACACCAAAAAUAAACACGCACCCCCCCCCNNNNNNNNNNNNNNNNNNNNNNNNNNNNNNNNNNNNNNNNNNNNNNNNNNNNNNNNNNNNNNNNNNNNNNNNNNNNNNNNNNNNNNNNNNNNNNNNNNNNNNNNNNNNNNNNNNNNNNNNNNNNNNNNNNNNNNNNNNNNNNNNNNNNNNNNNNNNNNNNNNNNNNNNNNNNNNNNNNNNNNNNNNNNNNNNNNNNNNNNNNNNNNNNNNNNNNNNNNNNNNNNNNNNNNNNNNNNNNNNNNNNNNNNNNNNNNNNNNNNNNNNNNNNNNNNNNNNNNNNNNNNNNNNNNNNNNNNNNNNNNNNNNNNNNNNNNNNNNNNNNNNNNNNNNNNNNNNNNNNNNNNNNNNNNNNNNNNNNNNNNNNNNNNNNNNNNNNNNNNNNNNNNNNNNNNNNNNNNNNNNNNNNNNNNNNNNNNNNNNNNNNNNNNNNNNNNNNNNNNNNNNNNNNNNNNNNNNNNNNNNNNNNNNNNNNNNNNNNNNNNNNNNNNNNNNNNNNNNNNNNNNNNNNNNNNNNNNNNNNNNNNNNNNNNNNNNNNNNNNNNNNNNNNNNNNNNNNNNNNNNNNNNNNNNNNNNNNNNNNNNNNNNNNNNNNNNNNNNNNNNNNNNNNNNNNNNNNNNNNNNNNNNNNNNNNNNNNNNNNNNNNNNNNNNNNNNNNNNNNNNNNNNNNNNNNNNNNNNNNNNNAAUAACUCAAAUUCAAUCCCCCCCCCCCCCCUUUUUUAUUUUGUUUUCCUUUUUCUCUUGGUCGACCUCACUUUCCCUCUCCUUCUCUUUUUCUUUUUUUUUUUUGCCUUAUCGAAAGUGAUAAGGCUCAGGCGUGCCUCUUAAGGCAUGCAUGAAGGCUACGUGGCCACCAAGGAAUAUACAAAGGGAAAAAAAAAAAACAAAAAGACCCCUCAAGAUCAAAUAUUUCGACUUUAGUCCAAAACAAUUAAAUCUUGAGUUUUAAAGUUCGUUUUUACGCCUAUUUUGUACAAAACGUCUCCAACUCAAUCAAACAUAAAUUUAUACUGUAAUCUUGCCAAUUUGUUAAGGUUCAGUAUAUCACAACCCCAAACCCGGGGAGCCCUCGUAUGGGUUCUCAAUUCAUGUACUUAAUUAUUUAUAAAUAGAGAGAGUCCGGUUAUGAUAUUUUUAAAAGUAUAAAAUAUUUGGUGCUCGUAAGUUUUUCACCGUUAAAUUUAUUCCUUUGAUUAUUUUUAUCUGCCAUAUCAUAUUANAUAUAUAUAUAUAUAUAUAUAUACUAUCGGUAACAUACGAGCUCCGCUGCUAUCGAUUUAUUAUUAGUGAUGGAGCCUCCAAAUCGACAAUCGGUAUCAUUGAAUGAUUUGAACCACAUGACGUAUUUAGAAAUUAAAUUUUAAAUUUUUUCGACAUCAGUGGCCUAAUAAUUAAAGGAUUGCAAAAAUUAUAAUUUAAUGGUCAAUACGAAAUAUUUUCUCGCUUAGUAGUGUAAAAAAAUUCAAAUCAGUUGAAAUUUUGUUAAAAAAAACUUGAAACUAUUUAAAGCAAGAUCUAUGCUCUGAUCUCAAUUACAAAAAUCUCAUGAUUACUUUCUGAAAGAUAUUUUUUUCCGACCCUUCAUUCUUUGUAUCCGCUUGAUGUACGAAAAAUUAAUAUUGGAAAAACAUAAAAUCGAUUUAUAGAAACUUUAAGUGGUCUAAAACUCUAAAUUAUAUUCAACAGUCCCGAUCAUCGAUUCGGAAACUCCAUCAUCGAAGAUAAAUUAAUAGCAAAGAAGUUCGUUUGCUUUUAGCUGAACUCUCUCUAUAUAUAUAUAGGGUGCGUUUGAAUUAUAUUAUUAGACCAAAUAUAAAAUUAUUUGGUGUAAGUUUGAGCAGUCUAAGGGUGGUGCCAAGACAUUUACCGAAAAACUAAUAUGUGGCAGUGGAUUUUGGGCUCCUGACUCCUUAAUGAGGCGUCGUUGGGGAGCACCUACUAAAGCUUCAUUAGUUCACUCAUCCCAUCAUCGAUUUUAAAAAAAUAUUUCUUAUUGUACUUUUUUUUCUCCAAUAGAAGGAUUUGAUUGGUUAGAACACAAAUGAUGUGGUGUGAUCUCCACCAGGAUUAACAAUCUAGCUCGCUCGAAAUGAGAUUCGAGAUCGAUUGGUUGUUUAAUAAAUGAGCCAAACAUAAGCUAAACAUUUCAAAUUUUUACAACUUAAAGUUUAGAUCAACUCAUAUAUAAAGAAGCCUAUAUUUUAUAAAUUUUAAUUAUUAGAUUGAAAUUUUAAUUUUCAAAUUUUCUUUCAACUUUUCAUUCGGUAGUGGUGGAGCUAGAAAGCUAACUUAUUGUUCGUGAGUCAGCUUGUAUUAGACUCAUCAAUAAGUAAGCUAAGUAUAAAGUAAAUUUUUUAGCUCAAUAUUUUAACAUAUCGAAUACAAGAUUGUUGACAACUCUGAAUGUCUAAUUGUACAAAAGCAAAACCCUAUUUUUAUAUUAUAUUUAUUAUAAUUCUGAUCAAACUUUCAAAUACUUGCCAGAUUCAAUCAUCCUGAACGUGUCGAUCUCAGCGUCACCAUCACAUCUUUCAAUAAGAAUAAAACCUUUUUUACCCCACCAUUACUUUAUUUCAAAAAAGUGCAAGGGAAUAUGCUUGAUUGACCAUAAGAUUUUGUGGUUAUUUUAUUAAGAAUGAUGUGGCAGCUGUUUGGUCCAAAAGCAGAUUAUCAGUGUGGACUCUUGAUAUCCUCGAAAAUCACUUCCUUUCUUGGCUUUGUCAAAUAUAUAUAUAUAUAUAUAUAUAUAUAUAUAUAAAGAUNNNNNNNNNNNNNNNNNNNNNNNNNNNNNNNNNNNNNNNNNNNNNNNNNNNNNNNNNNNNNNNNNNNNNNNNNNNNNNNNNNNNNNNNNNNNNNNNNNNNNNNNNNNNNNNNNNNNNNNNNNNNNNNNNNNNNNNNNNNNNNNNNNNNNNNNNNNNNNNNNNNNNNNNNNNNNNNNNNNNNNNNNNNNNNNNNNNNNNNNNNNNNNNNNNNNNNNNNNNNNNNNNNNNNNNNNNNNNNNNNNNNNNNNNNNNNNNNNNNNNNNNNNNNNNNNNNNNNNNNNNNNNNNNNNNNNNNNNNNNNNNNNNNNNNNNNNNNNNNNNNNNNNNNNNNNNNNNNNNNNNNNNNNNNNNNNNNNNNNNNNNNNNNNNNNNNNNNNNNNNNNNNNNNNNNNNNNNNNNNNNNNNNNNNNNNNNNNNNNNNNNNNNNNNNNNNNNNNNNNNNNNNNNNNNNNNNNNNNNNNNNNNNNNNNNNNNNNNNNNNNNNNNNNNNNNNNNNNNNNNNNNNNNNNNNNNNNNNNNNNNNNNNNNNNNNNNNNNNNNNNNNNNNNNNNNNNNNNNNNNNNNNNNNNNNNNNNNNNNNNNNNNNNNNNNNNNNNNNNNNNNNNNNNNNNNNNNNNNNNNNNNNNNNNNNNNNNNNNNNNNNNNNNNNNNNNNNNNNNNNNNNNNNNNNNNNNNNNNNNNNNNNNNNNNNNNNNNNNNNNNNNNNNNNNNNNNNNNNNNNNNNNNNNNNNNNNNNNNNNNNNNNNNNNNNNNNNNNNNNNNNNNNNNNNNNNNNNNNNNNNNNNNNNNNNNNNNNNNNNNNNNNNNNNNNNNNNNNNNNNNNNNNNNNNNNNNNNNNNNNNNNNNNNNNNNNNNNNNNNNNNNNNNNNNNNNNNNNNNNNNNNNNNNNNNNNNNNNNNNNNNNNNNNNNNNNNNNNNNNNNNNNNNNNNNNNNNNNNNNNNNNNNNNNNNNNNNNNNNNNNNNNNNNNNNNNNNNNNNNNNNNNNNNNNNNNNNNNNNNNNNNNNNNNNNNNNNNNNNNNNNNNNNNNNNNNNNNNNNNNNNNNNNNNNNNNNNNNNNNNNNNNNNNNNNNNNNNNNNNNNNNNNNNNNNNNNNNNNNNNNNNNNNNNNNNNNNNNNNNNNNNNNNNNNNNNNNNNNNNNNNNNNNNNNNNNNNNNNNNNNNNNNNNNNNNNNNNNNNNNNNNNNNNNNNNNNNNNNNNNNNNNNNNNNNNNNNNNNNNNNNNNNNNNNNNNNNNNNNNNNNNNNNNNNNNNNNNNNNNNNNNNNNNNNNNNNNNNNNNNNNNNNNNNNNNNNNNNNNNNNNNNNNNNNNNNNNNNNNNNNNNNNNNNNNNNNNNNNNNNNNNNNNNNNNNNNNNNNNNNNNNNNNNNNNNNNNNNNNNNNNNNNNNNNNNNNNNNNNNNNNNNNNNNNNNNNNNNNNNNNNNNNNNNNNNNNNNNNNNNNNNNNNNNNNNNNNNNNNNNNNNNNNNNNNNNNNNNNNNNNNNNNNNNNNNNNNNNNNNNNNNNNNNNNNNNAGAGAGAGAGAGCGAGAGAGAGAGAGAGAGAGAGUUGAGCUAAAAUAUUAUCGAUAGCAAACGAACUCUGUUGCCACCCAUUUAUUUUCGAUGAUGGAGUCUCCAAAUUGAUGAUCGGCACCGUUGAAAAUAAUCUAUACCACUUAAAGUGUUUAAAAAUCAAAUUUCAUACAUUUCCGAUAUUGUUCUCUUAUCCAUCGAGUGGACACAAAAAUGAACGGCUGAAAAUGAAUAUUCUUUAAAAAAUGAUGAUAGGAGUCUUGUAAUCAAGAUUAAGAGUAUAGAUCUUGUUUUAAAUAGUUUAAAGAAUUUUCUAACAAAAAUUCAAUUGAUUUGGAUAUCUUUACGCCGUUAAACGAAAAAAACUUCAUAUCGACUAUUAAAAUUAUAAAUUUUGGAACCCUUUAAUCAUUAGGCAAAUGAUAUCGAAAAAAUUUGAAAUUUGAUUUCUAAAUACUUCAAGUGGUAUAGUUCAUGUUCAACGGUGCCGAUCGUCGAUUUUGAGGCUCUAUCAUCGAAAACAAAUGAAUGGCAACGGAGCCCAUUUGCUAUCGAUAGUAUUCUAGCUCAACUCUCUCUCUCUCUCUCUCUCUCUCAUUAUAUUGUAUAUAUUAUUAUAUAUAUUCAUAGUUCGGCCUAUUAUGCUAUUAAUACACGAAGCACUUGGUGCUACAAGUUUUCCACCGUCUUAGAGUCUACCUUUUGAAUCAAUUUUCACACCGUUAGAUUAUAUUCAACAACCACCGCACUCACCCUGAGGUGCGUGUAGAUCUACUGACAUGAUCGACUUGGUGCUAUUAAUAUAUAAUUAGCUACAUAUAAUAUAUAUAUAUAUAUUAAAUAUAUUAUAUUAUAUAUAUAUAUAUAUAUUAUAUAUAUUAAUAUAGUAGACCUAGGCUACUAUGCUAUGCUUAUGGAAUAGCCAUCGAAGUGUCACGCUCCCGGGGUCCCUUUUAGUCUAAAAUAAAGCGGAAAAGCGCAGAAAUUUUUUUUCUUGAAAAAUUGACCCAGAGAGUAUGCCAGAUCCGCGCAGAACUACAGGAAAUCCACUAUUCACCGGACAGAGUCUCACCCUGUAUUUGCACGGGCGUCGCACAAGUACAAGAAGGUUCCAGGCACUAACCACAACAAAUGAAAUACAAAUAACAAGCCGUUAUAUUAUAUUCAUACACAUUCACCACAGAUUCACAUUUAUGCAUAAAUACACUAUCAGUUUAAAUGUUUCAUCAACCACAGAAGAUAGGUUUUGAAUUACUAAGAUACAAAAUCACAGAAAAACUUUUUGAAACGUGUUCCCUAACACGGGAAGUUUAUCGUUUUUAAAAAAACGCUUAUCCACGAGGGUAGAAAAUCUUUUAUUUUACAAAAUCCAGACUUCUUUUAUUUAACGCUAAUGAAAUACCGAACCACAUAAACCAUACUAAACAUAUACAAUCAACGAAAUAAUAGGUGCAUAAUAAUUAAACGAAAUAAUCUGGGUCGGAGCUCUAUCGACCGUAUGUAUCUCACGUCUCGUCUCAACCCUCACCGUUCGCGAUACCCUGAAAAAAUAGUGGGGGAGGUGGAGAACAUAUUAAACAUGUUCUCCCUGCCCAAGUGGUACGCAAGCGAGAUAGGCGAGGAGUACUCACCGGACAGGAAGAGCUAUACAACAACACGGUGUCAGUGGGAAUAUUAGUAUUAAAUAAUAAACGAAAGCAGGUAUGUAGAGCUGACAAGUAUAGGAUGCAGGUAAAUUAAAAUAGUUAGCCAUACAAUAAACAAGAUAAGGACGUACUGGAAUAACAUACAGCUACUAUAUGCAUGCGUCAACUUGACUGAAUAACUUCAAAAGUACCCAAUCUCGCUGCCCUAUUGGUCUGAGAGACCUCAGGCCCAUGGCCACUACUUACUCAACCUGUACCUGACCGCUCGCAAUGAAGUCGCUGGGCCACUGGCAGAAGCAUAUACCCUCGCAAUAAAGCGUCUUGGGCUCCGCUGUUGGCAAUCCAACCACUGUUUCCGAAAAACAACACCCUUUGCGGUGGAUCAGACGCUGAGUGUUCGUUGAAGGUACCUAGUAGCGAUCAAUGUAGUAUGCUCAAAGAUCUUCCAUCGGCAACUAGCCGACAAUCCAGCCCCUCAGGGCACACCGACCGUAUAGGCCAUCAGCAACUAGUAGGCUACGUAUGUCAAGAUAGAACUGUAGCAACUCAACCGAAUAGGUCAUAAAUAUCAAAAUAGGGGAACCGCCCAACCAAAUAACAGAUAUAGUGAACAUAUAAGUCAACUCUACUCCUAAGCAUGAUAUCAACAUGGAACUAACUGAGUAGAGGAAUGCAGAUAUAAAAGCAGGUGCAAGGCUCAAUAUGUAUAUGCACACAGAUAAUAGUAAGAGGGCAAGGGUAAGAAACCAUCACCGAACGUGCACCACUGUACCGACGUCGGAUCGAAGUAUCCACAUGUACAACUGUCGCGCCUGUCUCCUGACUGCAAAAGAACGUCAACAGGACCUAAGGAAGGUCCUCUGGAUUAGUGUCUAAUCCACAACUAAGAAAUACUACAUCGUAAUCCCGCUAACAAACCCACGGAGAUCACUUUCCCAAAACCGACUACCGUAACUCGCCGGAAGUCCCGAAAAUCGCACCGGAACUCAUCGAGACCCACGAACUGUCCCGAAAUGUACCGACUCAAGAUACGAGUCACCCGCUGCCACUAAAUACAAAUUACAUGUGACUUGGCAGCAGAGACCUUAACUCACUCCAAAACGAUUAUCGUCGGGUAAUCGUUCCGAUCCGGAUUUCCGGAGGUGUUUAUUUCGACACCGGAAUCCACCGUCGCUCACCCGUCAUUUCUGAACUCUCGAAAUGACGCGAGUGACCAGCCAACAAGGCUCAGCGACUACACAAUAGCUCACGAAGCACCGUCGGAAUAAUUCCGAACCAAAACCAUGUUCCGUCGGCGGAUUUUGCCGACAAACGCACCGGAAUGCAUUUUCGAUCUUCGCAAAGGUCCGGGGCCUUGGACAAUCAGUCCAGAGGUCACCCACAACUCAUCCAUGCUGCCGACAGCAGCCGCGACGAACAAAGUUGCAUAAAAGCCCUUCCGAAUACCCAAAAUCGCAUUAUUUCAUGCGAUUUCGGCGCUUUUAUGGUCCGUCCAUGCAAACCAGAGGUCAAUCAGCCAAGCCAAGAUACCCACUGACAGGUUUCGACGUGCCGGAGGCCGUGCUUACCUUUCGGAGCAAUUUUGGCCACUGUAGAGAGCGCGGGGGUGACGCGAAAGUCUGCGAAUAGCGCGCACAGUAUGAAAAGCAUGCUUAUCUCGCUAACCAGGGUCUCGCUGACCCUAAUUGAGGUGAGCACUGUGAUCAGCACUGACAAAUGAUCACCGUGCUCACUUCUGGAGGCAUCGGAACAGCCUCGGGUCGCCGGAACAGUAUACACAACCCCAAACAGUGCACAAUAAUUGCAAUACAAGCUUACCGGAGCUAGGCAGGGCUCGGGGUGGCCGGCGGCGGCCGGACGGCGGGCAGGCCGGCCAAGGGAAGGUGCUCCAGGUCAGAGGAGGCCAGGGCUCGCGUCAACAGGCGACGGGAGGCGGCGAUGACGGCGGGCAACGAUGCGCUAGUUGCACAACCCGAGGAGAGCAUGGGCUCACCACGGUUGACAGGGAGCUCCGGCGGCGGGUUAGCCGGCGGUGGACGGGUGCGGCCGGCCAGGCGGAGCCGGUGCUCACGCCGGACGGCGGCGGCGCCGGUGCUGGAUGUGGCUCGGUCUACACAAAGCCCAACCGGGCUGAGCCGAACAAGACGGCGGCGCUGGCGGCCGGGGGAGGUCGGGGGUGCACAUGGGCGACGGCGGUGGUUCGCCGGAGGCCGAGGGAAGGCGGCGCAGUCGAUCUGGAGAGGCGGCGGCGCGCGGGCCUCGAGCCCACCGUGCUCGGUUUGGGUUGACCGAGGGUGGCCGCUGGGAGCAGGGGCGGCGCCGGCGGGGACGGCGCCGGGGAGUUCCAGGAGGGUGGCGCUUCCAAUCCUGAGCGGCAGCAGGGCGAGGAGGAGGAGAUCCCACCACCUCGGCCAGAUCUGCUCAGAUCUGGCCGCAACUGGCCAGGGUGGUGGUGGCGGCGCUCGGGGGCGGCCGGGACGGCGGCGGCCGGCGGCGAUGAUGUUGGAGAAUGGUCUCGGCCAGAGGGUGGAGUCCGAGGGUGUGGGUUCACCCUGGUAGCAGCACAAGUGGGGGGUGAAGGGUGGUGAAGCAAGGAACAAUGGAGAGGUGGAGGAGCAGCCAGCUCCGGCGGCCGGCGGCGUGCUCUGGUGGCCGGAGCGCGCGCGGGGAGAGCAGGGGAACGUGAGGGAGGCGGUUAAGGAAGAGGAGGGGACCCAGGGUUAGGGUUUCAUGGUGACCUAACUCUAUGAUAUAUGUACAAUUACAGAAAAACCCACCUCAGCCCUAUUUUUAUAAUUUAGUCCCUGCCAUUGCGCGUAACUUGCGCAUACGCACCACCACGCUCGAUCUCAAGCGAUUCGGUACAUAAAAUACAAUGACUUUUGCGAAGUUUCCGAUUUGCCACCUUCGACCCCUCAGUGAACAUUUCGCGUUUCCCGAAAAUCCAUCCGUCGGAUUUUCGAUCUGACAGUGCCAUCGCGUUCAGCACGACGGGGACAUCGAAACUACGAUUUCGUUUCAUCCGAUUUGCUUGCCGAUUUGCGACAAAAUCUGACCUCUCUCCAACUAACCUAUAUAUCAUACAUAGGCCUUGGUGGAAACCCGAAAUCCUUUAAUUCAAACUCGUAUUUGAAUUCCCUGCCACCAGUAGGUACUUGAAACAUCUCUCACCCAUCUCCAGAUCACUUGUACAAAGCACGAGGAGUUUUAAAAUGCACGAAUAGCAAAGAGCGGAAACCCUCUUUUUGUUAAAACUCCUUUUUCUCGAAAACCGUGCGUCAAAUCCAAAAUCCGUCAGUGCCAUUGGUUCCAGAAUAGUUGAGCCAAUCAAAACGAGCUAUUGGAUCACUAUGAAUGGAGUCCGAUACGCGCCGAAAGCCAACUCUACUCCGUGGCUUCUUCGGAAAACCGGAGUUACUAUUCACUUAAGUGAAAACUAAUAAUUGCGUAACUUCUCCAUUCUAGCUCAUUUUCUCCUGAAACUUGACGAGUACUUAUGUAAUUAAAUUACACACAUAAAUAUCGUCAACAGAGAGUUUAGUUACACUGUCAAAAUCUCAGUCGUUACACCAAGUCAUUUGUGCUAUCAAAUUUUUGGCCAUUGGAUUAAGAGAUGUGUGGUUAGGAUGAUGUGGGCCCCCUAGGGUUGAGUGGGUGGUUGGUUGAAUAGUAUAAUCUAACGGGUGAAAAUGAUCAAAAGGGUAGAUCUAAGCGGAAAACUUGGUAGUAUCAAUUGCUUCGUGCUAUUAAUAGCACGCCGGACUAUAUAUAUAUAUAUAUAUAUAUAUAUAUAUAUAUAUAUAUAUAUAUAUAUAUAUAGAGAGAGAGAGAGAGAGAGAGAGAGAGAGAGAGAGAGUUGAGCUAGAAUGCUAUGGGUAGCAAACGUGCUCCGUUGCUUUCGAUGAUGGAGCUUUCAAAUUGACGAUCGGCACCAUUGAACAUGAUCUAUAUCACUUGAAGUAUCUAGAAAUUAAAUUUCAAAUCUUUUCGACAUCAUUUACCUAAUGAUCAAAAGGUUUCAAAAUUAGUAAUUUUAAUGGUUGAUAAGAGGGAUUUUCUCGUUUAACGGUGUAAAGCUAUCCAAAUCGAUUGAAUUUUGGUAGAAAAUUCUUUAAACUAUUUAGAACAAGAUUUAUACUCUCGAUCAUGAUUACAAAAUUUCUAUCAUCACUUUUUAGAGGAUAUUCAUUUUCAGCCGUUCAUUUUUAUGCCUACUUGAUGGACAAAAAAAUAAUAUCGAAGAAGUAUGAAAUUUGAUUUCUAGAUAUUCAACGGUGCUGAUCGUCUAUUUGGAGGCUCCAUCAUCGAAAACAAAUGGGUGGCAACGGAGACCGUUUGCUACCGAUAGUAUUCCAGCUCAACUCAAGAGUUGAGCUGGAAUACAAUCGGUAGCAAACGGUCUCCGUUGCCACCCAUUUGUUUUCGAUGAUGGAGCCUCCAAAUCGGUGAUCGGCACCGUUAAAUAUGAUCUAUACCACUUGAAGUACCUAGAAAUCAAAUUUCACACUUUUUCAAUAUUGUUCUCUUGUCCAUCAAGUGGGCGUAAAAAUGAACGGCUGAAAAUGAAUAUCCUCUAAAAAGUGAUGAUAGAAAUUUUCUAAUCAAGAUCAAGAGUAUAGAUCUUAUAAUAAAUAGUUUAAAGAAUUUGCUAACCAAAGUUCAAUUGAUUUGGAUAGCUUUACACCGUUAAACGAGAAAACGUCUCAUAUCUAUCAUUAAAAUUACAAAUUUUGAAACCAUUUGAUCAUUAGGUCAAUGAUGUCGAAAAGAUUUGAAAUUUGGUUUCUAAAUACUUUAAGGGGGUGUUUGGCCUAGCUUUUAAAAAGCGCUUUUGGCUGAAAAGUGAUUUUCGGCUCAAUAAAGCGUUUGGCAACUCACUUUUAAAACCUGAUUCUGCUUUUCAUAAUCAGAAAACUGAUUUUGAAGGCCCCAAAAUCAGAAGCAGAAAAAACUGCGUCUUGAAAUCUGAUUAUGAUUUUGGAUUUAAACUUCAAAUUUUAAUUUUUAUUUUAAUUUCAAUAUUUAAAUUUAAAUUUAAUUUAAAUUUUUAAAUUUCAGAUUCAUUUUUCAAUUCUUAAAUUUUAACUUUUAAAUUUUAUAUUUUGAAAAAUAGAUUUCAAAUUUCAAAUUUUAAAUUUUAAUUUUAAAUUUCAAAUCUCAAAUUUUAGAUUUUAAAAUUUCAAAUUUCAAAUUUAAGAUAAAAUUUAAAUUUUGACAUUUUAGAUUUUAAAAUUUAAAUGUAAAAAUUUAAAUUUUUUAAAUUUUAAAUUAUAAUUUUUAAUCUUCAAAUUAUAAGAUUUCAAAAAUUUAGAAUUGAAUAUUUAAAAUUUAAAAUUUAAAAUAUUCAAUUUUUAAAUUUUAAAUUUUAAAUUUCAAAUUUUAAAUUUUAAAUUUAAAUAUUCAAAUUCUAAAUUUUAAAUUUAAAUAUUCAAAUUUAAACUUAAAUUUUAAAUUUCAUAACUAUUUUAAAUUUUAAAUUUUGAAUUUAAAAAAUUUAAUUCUAAAUUUAAAUUUGAAAUUUAAAAUUUAUAUAUAUUUUAAUAUAUAAUAUUAUAUAUUUUAUAUGUAUCAAUUUUUAUAUUUUUACAUUUAAUAUUUUAAAUUUUAAAUUUUAAAUUAGAUUUAAAUUUUAAAUUAAAUUCUAAUUUAAAGUUGAUAAAUUUUAAUUUAAUUUAUAUUUUUAUAUAUUAAAAUUUUAUAUUUUAAAUUCAUAAUUAAUUAUAUUUUAAAUUUAUAUUUAUUGUCACCCCGCCGGAUGUCUCAUUCCUCGGGCACGCCAACAAAUCCGCCUGAUACAAGGAAUUUCGCCCUGAUACGAAGCGUCAAUGUACCUGUAGAAAUACAAUACUACAAACAGUAGCAAGAGCUUCUCAAAAAAAAAGCUAAUAUCUGAGUUUCAUAUACAUAGCUAGAACCCAAAAUACAAAGCUCACUGGCGAGUUUAAACAACUAUGUACAUAAACUCCAAAACAAAACUACCCUGCAGUAGGGGAAAGCCUCUUAGCUCUGACUGUCGGGUAGGGCUCUAGCUGCGCAACGCCCUUGCCUCGAUCCUGAUCGCCAGAGAUCCAGCAGCCGCGCACCGUGUGGCUUUGCAAAACAUAAGUAAAACUGGGCGUGAAACACUGUAAAAAUAAGUAACCUCAGUGGGUACCGCCAAUAACGACAUCGGUACCCCACUAAGUCGCUAUAGAAGAGAGCUAAGGAGAGAGCAAAAGCAGGAAUUGAACACUCUACCGCUAUCAUCCACUACACUAUCAUGCUCUAUCAACUAACCAACUGUAGAAAUGUCAAAUCUGACGCCAAUCCAAAUCGGGACUGUAAGCAUACCGUCCCUGGGACUGUGAAUACACCCGUCCCUGCCCGUUGCGACUAUCGGCUCUAUCCACUCUAAACUUGGUCCAUGGAGAGCAAGUCCAUGGCAUGAGCGACCCCCAACGCGAAACACAAGCCUGACUCGCGGUGGCACUCGUGUGCGCUAACCAACAGUAUGCAGCGUAUCUUUGUCGAGCUAACACAGGCUCUGGAAAGCAAAGUCAAGAAACCGACUCUCAACGGUCUAAACACUAACAGGUAAGUCCCCUCGCACAUCUGACAAGUCAAAGGCGAUACGCGGUCCACUGUUCAACUCUGACGGCACCCAACAGUCCGAAAUAACCUGAACGACCGGCGGUAAAAUCCACCUCGGCGACCAGCACGAUGUAAAUAUAUUCACACCUGGAAUAACUCGCUCGACAAUACUGCGACAGUACACUUUUUCUAACGGGCUUCUAGAGCUAAAUUAGGCAGUUUAUACAGUGACAGGUCGGAUCCAAAUCGCAAGUUUUCCUCUAAUUCAAUUUCCAGUUCAAAUAUGUAUAACUACUUAAUUUAAAAUAAAACAUGCUCAAAAUUCAGAUUUCACAAUACUACAUAUAGUCCAUGAAUUUGAGCUAAAAUUAUUACCGAAAUCAAGAUCUAUACAUGUCGACCAAUAAGAACUUAGGAGUAAAAGCCGAUGUAACCCACCUAAAAUGCUAAUCCCUGGCAGCGAAGGACUCCCCCGGUGUAGAGCAACCUGCUGGAUCACCGGAAACCCGCCGAGUACAGAAAUCGCCUAAGCUCGAGCUCUACGCAACAAAUUCACCAAUUCAAUCUGAAAUUUCAGCGGUGAGGUACAACAUGGAUUCAACCAAGCUAGCCUUCACCAAAUCCAGCAAGUAAGCGGCUUCGUGGAUUCCUCUCGAAGUCCUGAAUCCAACAAGCCAGUCUCGUCGCAAUCCGAUGCUCCAACGUCGGAGAACGACCAAAAUACGGACAGUCGACGAAGAAAUCUGCAGCAGUGGCCACCCAGAGCCCGAAAAUGAGAAAUUGAAGUACUUGGAGGGAUGCCCACAGGUAAAAUACGACAACCAGUACUUGAACAGGCACGACAUCAAAGAUGGCGAAAAAAAACUCGCCCGACCUCCUCGCAGCAACACGACGACGGAAGUAUGCUCGAACGGCUCGCGGCGCUACGUCGCGACGAAUCCGAGCUCCCUCUUGCCUUCAACCGGAUGAGGGAGUUAGAGAGAUGGAUAAAAGCAGCUAGAAGACCUCUCUCACUCUCUCUACACGAAGCUAUAUAGAGGGGAGUGAGGGGUGAUACAAACGAGGGAUAAAAUUACACAUUUAGCCCUCUACCUACCCUCUUGUACCGGUACACGGGCUCCUGUACCGGUACAAGAGCCAACCCGAGAGCAGCUAAAUUCAGUGCGCGCAUCCUGUACCGGUACAGCAACCCCUUGUACCGGUACAACAAGCAGUCCUGCGAUGGUUGUACCGGUACAGCCUGCCCUUGUACCGGUACAGCGAGCAGAAAAUCCUGCUGUUUCGCAGAUUCUCUCGCAGAAUGCUGCCCUCGCGUCGCACGGAGUCCGUUUUGCGCCUAUUUGACGCCAACGCGACUCGGACCUGUCCCGACACUCUCCAGAGCUGUCGAUAAGCCUCCAGUCAAACACCAGGGAUCUCACAUUUAUAUUUUUAAAUUUUAAAUUUCAUAAUUAUUUUAAAUUUUAAAAUUUUAGAAUUUUAAAUUAUUUUUAAAAUUAAAAUAUCAAAUUUUAAAUUUUGUACAAUUUUGAAAUUUAAAAUUUUAAUUUUAAUUCAAAUUUAAAUUUAGACUUUAUAUUAUUUUAAAAUAAAAUUAAAUAAAAAUAUUAAUUUAUGCAAAUAUCAAAAAAAAUUUACUAAACAGCUUUUCAAAAUCACUUCAGAAAAAUCACUUUAUCUAAACUCCGCCAAACGCUCUACAGCUUUUAACCAAAAUCACUUCUCCAAUCCAAAAUCACUUUUUCAGAAAUCACAUUUUUAGAAGUUAGGUCAAACAGGUCCUAAGUGGUAUAGAUCAUGUUCAACGGUGCCGAUCGUCGAUUUAAAGGCUCUAUCAUUAAAAACAAAUGAGUGGCAACGGAGCCGGUUUGCUACCGAUAGCAUUCCAGCUCAACUCUAUAUAUAUAUAAAAGUAAAAGUACACAUUCAUUAGUGCUUUUAGAUUUCUAAUUCUUAGAUUUACCCCUUAACUAUUAGUUGUCUUUGAAUCAAAUACUAUUUUUCCUACCACCAUUAAACUCAAAUUGGCUACUAUCAUCCAAAUCCUACAACACCUCCAUCCAUGGGUUUCAAACCUAAGUAUAAACCCCUUGGUGCUUUUAGAAAGUAUUCUAGCUCAAUUCUAUAUAUAGAGAGAGAGAUAGAGAGUUUGGCUAUAAUGCUAUCAAUAGCACUAGACAUUUGGUGCUAUCAAGUUUUCUGCCGUUAGAUCCAUCUCUUUGAUCAUUUCCAUCCGUUAAUUAGAUCAUACUAUUCAACCAACCACCCAAUCAACCCUUAGGAACCAGUAUCAUCCUAACCACACAUCGCUUUAUUCAAGUGUUGAAAACUUAAUAGCACCAAUGACUUUGUGCUAUUAAUAGUACUAGUGUAGUUACCCGCGCGAGACGGCGGGCAGGUAUUAUAAGAGUAUUAGAUUUUUAAUCCAAUCCAACUCAUCUUAAACAGAAACUAUCAAAUAAUUCCAAAAAAUACUGUAAAAUAGGUUAAAAAUAGAUUAAAAAAAUGAAAAAUAAGAAGAGAGAGAAAAAAAAGAAAAGAUAGAGAAACUCUCACUUAAUAUUGGUCUUUAAGAGGGCGAGGCUUGCCAUUGCUUUUACUGCCGCCUCGAUCUCCACUGUCAUUGCCCACCCUUUCUUCCGCAGCCGUCUUAGUCUCUACUGCCAUCACAUUCACCGCCUCCGCCACCGCUAUGACCUGAAGCAUCGCCCACGCCUCAGGCUAAAUGAGAAGAGGAUAAUACAUCAAAAUUAGGAAUUUUAAAAAAAAGAAAAAAAAAAAGUAAAUAGAUCCCACACCUCUUACUAAAUGAAGGAGGUUGUUAUUUAUUAUAAGAAACAAAAUAGGGUUUCAUUUUCAUGACAUGCAUAGGAGAGAAUGAGGCUUUUGCGUUAGUUUUUAUGGUUUACGAUUAUAUUAGGGUUAAAAUGGGUGAAUACAUUAAUUAGACGUUACAUGCGAAGGGAAGGCAAAGGGUUGGGCCUUUUGGAUGGGUUUCUAGAUUUACGAUUUGGAUAGGAUUAAAUAAGGUGUUAUAUGAUAUUUAAUGUCACUAUUGCUUAGUGGUUCAACGAAUCUACAUCAUCCAUAUUAAACGGAAUGAAUUUAUUAGCAAUAAACUCAAGUAGCAGGUAAAUAGAGAGAGUUAAUUAUUUUGUUAAUUUGAUAUUUAGAUAGAGGAAGUGGUUUCAUUUAUUUAUUUAUUUAUUUAUGAGAAUGAAGGGAUGAAGGGUGACUUGCCACGUGGCAAGAAUUAUUGUGCUUUCAUUUAGGUUUAUAGAUAGAUUCUAGCCUAGUUUUAUAUAUAGAGAAAGAGAGAGAGAAUCCAGCUGCCAUUCUUUUAGGAGGAUAGGGACCUUCGUCCUAUUAAAUCGUUUUUCAUGAUAGAGAUUCCGAAUCGAUGAUCAGAAUCGUUGAAAUUGAUCUAGAGUAUUUGAAUUAUCUAGGAACUAAAUUUUAUAAAUUUUAAAAUUUAUUUACAUAUUGAUCAAAGGAUUGCAAAAUUAAUAGUUUUUGACGGCCUAUAUGAAUCGUUUGUUUGUUUAACGAUUUAGAGUAAUCUAAACAAGUUGAAUUUUUGAUAGAAAAUUCUUUAUACUAUUUGGAUAAUAUUUAAUAACUCCGAUUGUAAAUUGAAAAAGUCUAAUCACUAUUUUCAGAAGGUCAUUUGUUUUUGACCGUUCAUGUUUCGACUUUUUGGACUUAAUAAUGAUUUUUAAAAUUACAAAAUUCAGUUCUAAACAUUUCUAAUAGUGUAGAUCAAUUUCAAUGGUGCCGAUUAUCAAUUUGAAGUUUCGAUCAUCCAAAAUGACGUGGUAGGAUAAAGACUUCUAUCAUCUUAAGAAAAUAGUAGCCGAAUAUAUAUAUAUAAAGAGAGAGAGAGACAGAGCUAUGGUGCUUGUAAAACCAUUAAGCACUUGGUGCUUGUAAUUUUUUCACCAUUAGCCAGAUUUAUCCCGUUAAUCAUUUUCAUCCGUUAGAUUAUACUAUUCAACCAACCACCCACUCAACCCUAGGGGACCACUGCACACCUCUUUAUCCAAAGGCUACAAACCUACGAGCACCAAUGACUUUAAAAAUAUAAUAGCGCAAUUCUCUCUCUCUCUCUCUCUCUCUCUCUCUAAUAGAUAAUAUAUAGUAAUAUAUAUAUAGUAGGGCUACUGUGCUAUUAGGAGCACAGCAGCCCUUGUGCUCCUAUAUUUCUAACCACCCAUCAAGUUUGAUGGAUGAUUAGAAUAAAAGAGGAAAGAAAUAUUAGGGAGAAAUUGGAUGCUUCAAUUCUCUUCUCCUUCAAUUUCUAUUCAAUAUCUCUUCUUUCUUUCAUUCUAACCACCCAUCAAGGUGGUUAGAAAGUUAGAAGCACAAGGACUGCUGUGCUCCUAAUAGCACAGUAGUCCUACUCUCUCUCUCUCUCUCUCUCUCUCUCUCUCUCUCUCUCUCUCUCUCUCUCUAUAUAUAUAUAUAUAUAAUCACUAAACAAUGACUACUACUUGGUAUUAUGUGUGCAAAAUGUUGCUAUUUGAUUAUUCUUGUUUUGGAUCAGCUUGUGAGGUAUUCCCCAUUUGGAUUCUUUUAUGAUUUACUUCUAUAUAGUAUUGAGAUAGGCCAAAGGCCAAUUUGCAUAAAAAUUCACUAAUUUUGGGCUUUUGCAAAAGUAGGCCACCUUCUUCUUUUUUGCAGAUUCGGUCCGAAUUUUCAACAAACUGACCAAAAUACCCUUGUUACUUUUUCUCUCUCCUCUUUUUCUCUCCUCUUCUUUUCAAUCGUUUAUUUUUUUCUCUCGCUGAAGAAAGCAGCAGAGGCAAAGGCGGAGGUGGAAAUGGCCCGUCUCGCCUCUCACCCUCAUGCUCUCGCCCUCACCCUUGCCUUCACCCGCGCACCCCCCAUCUUCCUUGCCUCCGACCCCACCGAGGUCACGCCGCGACUCUUUUUUUUUUUUUUCCUCUCCGACUCUCCUCCACCGUCUCCGACAACGAUGCCUCUCUCGCCCUUCCCCGCCAUUCUUGUCCUUUCCUUCUCCUUCCUCCCCUACCGCCUCCGACGACGACGCAUUUCGCUGACGCCGACACCGUGGAUCGAGGUCGCUGCGGCGCUGCAGCCUCGGAGCGAGGGGUCCUUAGCGGCGUCGUCGCCGGCGCCGUGGCUGUUGGCAGAGAGGGGUCAUCAAAAAAAAUUAUAGAAGAAGCAAAAAAAAAAAAAAAAAAAAAAAAAAUAAAGAUAAAAAAUUAUAGAAAAAGAAAGAUGAAGAUGAAAUUGCACUAUUAAAAUAAAAUUGUACUGUUUUAAAAGAACGUUGCACUAUUAUGGACAUAAGUUAUACUACUUAAGAUGUAAACUACAGCUUUAAAAUAAAAAUUACACUCUUUACACGAAAAUUACACUCUUUGGGAGAUAAUUACCUGUUUCUCCUCUUAUUGCACUCUUUUAAAUGCAAACUACAUUCAUUAAGAUGAAAGUUACACUGUUUAAAAAAAAAUUUCACGCUUUGAGAGAUAUUUACACUGUUUCUUCUCUUGUUGCACUCUUUGAGAUGUAAACUGCACCCUUUUAAGAUAUAUUUAUACUGCUUCUCCUCUUGUUGAAUUGUUUCUCCUCUUGUUGCACUAUUUCUUCUCUUGUUAUACUAUUUUUUCUUUUAAACUGCACCCUUUAAGAGGAGAAAUAAUGUAACAAGAGAAGAAAUAGUGCAAUAAGAGGAGAAACAAUACAAUAAGAGAAGCAGUAUAAAUAUCUCUUAAACGGAUACAGUUUACAUCUCAAAGGAUGCAAGAAGAGGAGAAACAGUGUAAAUAUCUCUCAAAAAGUGCAACUUCCGUUUAAAGAGUGUAACUUUCAUCUUAAUGGAUGCAGUUUACAUCUAAAAUAGUGCAAUAAGAGAAAAAACAGUAUAAAUAUCUCUCAAAGAGUGUAAUUUUUGUUUAAAGAGUUUAAUUUUCAUUUUAAAGCUGCAGUUUAUAUAUUAAUAAUGUAACGUUCUUUUAAAACAGUGCAAUUUUAUUUUAACGGUGCAAUUUCAUCUUCAUCUUUCUUUUUCUAUAAUUUUUUAUCUUUAUUUUUUUUUUCUUGCUUCUUCUAUAUUUUUUUUUGUCACCUGUUUCUGGCAGCACCAGCGACAAUGCCGCUAAGAACCCCCUGCUCCGAGGCUGCAGUGCCGCAGCGACCUCCACAGUGUCGGCGUCGGCGAAGAUGCGUCGUCGUCGAAGGCGCCAGAGGAAGAGGGAAAGGGAGAGGACGAGAAGGGCGGGGAAGGGCAAGAGAGGUGUCGUCGUCGGAGAUGGUGGAAGACAGUCAGAGAGGAAAAAAAAAGAGUUGCAGCGCGGCCUCAGCGUGGUCGGAAGCGAGGAAGGUGUGAGGUGCGCGGGCGAGGGCGAGGGCGAGGGCGAGAGCGAGAGCAUGAAGGUGAGAGGCAAGGCGAGCAGUUUCCGCUUCCGCCUCUGCCUCCGCUGCCUCUUCAGCGAGAGAAAAAAAAAAUGAACGAGAGAAAAAAAAAAAAAAAGAGAGAAAAAGAGGAGAGAGAAAAAAUAAUAAGGAUAUUUUGGUCAGUUUGCUGAAAAUCCGAUUUGAAUAUGCAAAAUCGAAAAAAGUGGCCCACUUUUGCAAAAGCGCAAAACUAGUGGAUUUUUUAUGCAAAUUGGCCUAGGCCAAAACAUAUUGAAAUAUACUUUUUUGAUUUUUUUGUUGAAACUAUAGAAAAUAUAUAUUAUAACUAUACAACAAGAAUAAUUUUCUAUUGUACUUUCUCACCACACAUAACGUAAUUUUUUCGCAAUUUCAAACAAAUCUUUAGUCUUCCCAAAUACUGAAUUACAACAUCAAAACUAUGUAAUUCUAUUCAAGAAUUUAAGUAUCGUGGUAUGGAAUCGUACUGUGCAUGCCGGGUCGUACCGAUGUAUGCUGGUCACAAAAAAUAUAAGUAUACCAACACAUAAUGAUAUGAAAAUUUAUUUUCUUUAGCAACAAAAUUUUAUAAUUGCUUAUUCUGUAUUUUAAUCAAAUCUUUUAAAUUUUAUUGAUAAAUUAAUUACUAAUUUAAAGUAAAAAGUUUUGAACUGUGCCAUAAGUACGAGGGUUGUAUCGUGUCAAUAUCUUAUUGACACGGUACAAUACAGUAAAUAUGGCAUGUACCGAUGGAUACUUAAAUCCUUAAUUCUAUUUCAUCCAAACACCUUUCUAAGCUUUGUAGUUUUCUGUGGUAAUUGAUCCACAUGUCAAAAACAAAAACAAAAACAAAAAAAAAAAAAAAUCAGUAGUCCCUUUACUAUCUUCGUUCUUAUUAAUUUGCAAUUCAUUUCAGAACACUAAAAUUAAGUCUCAAUUUAACAUACACUAUAACAAAAGAGUUACUUUGUAGGAGUAAAAUGAUCAUCCCAUAUAUAUAGAAAUUAAGCCUAGAUAUACAACGCUCAAAGUACAUGGGUUAUUAAUAGGCCCUCGGUAACACUUGCCACGAAUGCGGAGAGAGUUUUUGGGCCAAGCACUUUUUCGGGCUGGAAAAGGUAGAAUGAGGCCACAAUAUUUCAUAUCAACUGUUCUUCAAAUCAUAUGCAUAUCCAUAUGCUUUAAAAAUAUAUAUAGGCAAAUGAAGAGUCGUUAUAUAUAUAUAUAUAUAUAUAUAUAUAUAUAUAUAUAUAUAUAGAUAGAGUGAGGCUACUAUACUAUCGGAAGCACAGAGCCUUCCGUGCUUCUAGCUCGUUUUCGAUGUUGCGACUUUCGAAUCGUCGAUCGGCUCCGUUAAACUUGAUCUAGAGUAUUUGAAGUACCUAGAAAAUAAAUUUUAUGAUUUUACGAUAUCAUUUGCCUAGUGAACAAAGGGGCUCAAAAUCAACGGCUGAAAAUAAAAAUCUUACAAAAUGUAAUAAUAUGACAUUAAAAUUUUAAAUCAAAGAUAUUGAUCUUGUUUUAUAUAGUAUAAAGAAUUUUCUAUCAAAAUUUCACGUGAUUUGAAUAUUUCUACACCGUUAAACUUGCAAACGGCUCACUACGGCCAUUGAAAUUUGUUGAUUUUGAGCGAUCGUAGGCAAAUGAUAUUCGAAAAAUAAUAAAAUCUUAUUUCUAAUGGUACCGCAAUAAUCUAUUGAUCAUAUUAAUCGAGCCGAUCGCAAUUCCGCAGAAGUCACAACAUGAAGAAGAGCUGAAGACAGAAGGCUCCGUGCUUCAUAGCAUAGUAGCCUCACUCUAUAUAUAUAUAUAUAUAUAUAUAUAUAUAUAUAUAUAUAUCAUACAACAGAAUUAGGUUAUAGGGACACAUAUUUGGGACACUUUUAAGUAAGUGUCCCAUUUAUACUAAAACUUAAAAACACGUCUACUAAUGCCUAAAUAUAAAGCCCAAUCCAACCAAAAAUAAAAAAUUACUCUACUCAACCCACCACAUCCAGUCCAUUUGGUCCGAUUACAAACAGAAAAGAAAAAAAAGAAAAAUCAAUUACCAUCUUUUCUUCUCUCUUCACUCAAUCCACUGAAAUUCUAGACGAAUAGUCUUUACUGUCGUCCUCCUCCGCCACCGCAGCCAACGAGAUAGAGUUUCGACUGUUGCUAAAUGCUUAAAUAAGUAUUGGUAAAUUAGCAUGAUUCUUUUAGGUUAUAGCGACACUUUUUAACUGUCACUAUAUACCUAGCGACCCCACAUAUAGAAAUACUUUUUAAAAGUGUCGAUAAUUUUAGCUAGCAGCACUUUUUUGAUAUGUACCUACAGUUAAAAGUGUCGCUAUAGACCAUUUUUGUUGUAUAUAUAUAUAUAUAUAUAUAUAUAUAUAAAGAGAGAGAGAGUNNNNNNNNNNNAUGUUUAAAAUAAUAUUCUUGAAAAUAAAUCCUACAAACUUUCUUUGCAAAGGUUUGAAAGAGUACUAUAUCGUUUACGACUGUGAACUUUUUUCAUGGCGGAUACUUGCAAUUCUAAAAAUUAAAAGACUUCGAAAUUAUAUAGUCCGAUAUAGAGUAACUGUGCACUAUAUAUAUAUAUAUUAUAUAUAUAUAUAUAUAUAUAUAUAUAUAUGCCUUUCGUGAAUUGCAGCAACUAGACAAUUUCAAAGUUGCAUCUUAGCUUAUUAGAAAAAAAAAAAAAAAUUGUAAAUUUCACGAACAAGAAUAUGCUACAACAUCACACAUAUACAUAUUUCUUAAAAGUAAUAAAUUAAUUAAUUGUAUACGUGCCUUUAAUUUCGAAAUAAUUGCUACUUUUUAUCAGAUGAUCAUGAAGCUCAAAAAUCCUGGCUCCAUGAAGCUCUUCUAACGGUCAAAAAGGUCAAACUCAACACUAAGCUCUAUGAGCCACGUGACAAUGCGACUGCCAAUGAAUUAAUGACACGUGGCACCUAGCUGGUUGACUUGGUCAAGGUACAAUCCGAGGUCAUGGCAUUCCACCAGGUUGGCCGACCCCCGGCCGCCGCCGCCGCCUCCUCGCAGCCGCAGCUCCCGUCCGACGUCGGCGUACGCCCACCCCAGUGCCGUCGUCGCCCUCCGCCACCACCUGCCGCCGCCGUCGUCCUCCGAUUCCACCACGAAGCCCGGCACUUUGGUCACGACAUCGCCGGCGUUCACUAUCCGCAGCACCUUGCACCCACUCCCCUCCACCCUCCGCCGGAACCCCUCGUUCCCGAUCCGCGGUCCGCCGAACGAUAUCGCCGUCACCAUCGCCUUGCGGUCACUGCUGCCCCGGCAAAAAGUGUCGGCAAUGUCGUGCGCAGCGAGCACCGCGAGUGCGGCGCCGAGGCUGUGCCCGGUCACCGUGAAGCUCAACGGGUACGCAUCCGCUGUCGCAGUCGCCGCCGCCGCGUCGACGAUCCGUCCCACCUCCUCGCGCACCUGCGCCCGCAGGCUGCCAUGCGGAGCGACUGCGGUCGUGAAGAGGUUCCAGAAACCGCGCUCCACCAUCGGCUCCGACACAUUGUCGGAAGUGCAGCCAUCCAAGCCAGUGAGAGAAGUUUGGGAGUUCUCGAUCCACUCAAGGAAGGUGGCGGUGCCGCGGAGCGCGAUAACGACGUCGCGGCGGCCGAGCCGGGCGAUUUCGGCCUCGUCCCUGCAGGCCGCGAUGUACCCGAUCCAGCUCGACCGCCGCGAGAGCGCCGAGGGGGCUCCGGCAUCGGCUAUCCAUCGAGGAACUGCUGCGGCAGUCGUGGCGUGGAGGUGGCGCGUGACGCGGUAGCCGGUGCGGGACAGGCCUGCGCGGCGGAGGAGGGAGUGCUUGGGGAAGCGGCAGGCGGCGUAGGACGGGGAGCAGGGGUCGGUGUCGAAGGCGGAGUAGGCGGCACGGACAAAUUCGCCGUAGCGGAGGAUCUCACGGCGGAGGGUGUCGUCGAGCGGGUCGAGGAGGCGGGCCCAGUCGUCGGCGCCUUGGUACUCCGCCCACCGCCUCCCGAUCCUCGCGGUGGAGCGGCCGCGGAGUGUCGACGGACCCGAAGGGGAGGAGGAACACUUGAUCAGUGGAGAUGAGCAAUGGUGAGAUGAUAGAGAAGUUGGUGAGGACCAACCUCUCCAUACACAAAGCUUCAUCUUUUAUUCUACUUAAUUAGAUUCUAUUUUGUACUUGAAACAAUAUGUUGUACACUUUGUAGAAGAUGAUGUGUGUGUAUAGAUAUAUAUAGCUUGUGCAUGUGCAUGUGCAUGAUACGUGGGGGGGCAAAAAUAUGGGUGCAUGGGGAGGGUUCGACGCGCCGAAAAGGUAAAAAAAGAGUGGCUUAGAGGAUCCAAUUGAUGCGAUGCAAUAACAAAAUAACUUUUUGGGAGGGACCCUCUUUAAUUUCCAACAUUUUUGUGCCCAAGAAGUAUGAUUAGAAGAAUAAUAGAGUUGAGCACAUGUGCUUUUAAAAACAUAGUAAGUAGUAUUUGCGCUUAUGAUUUUUUAAUUAGCUGUUUGAUCACUUCAAGAUCCGUAUAAAAAUAUUAAUGAUAUGUCAUUUUAUUAGGAUUAUAUAGACUUAAGGUGAUAAUUGGUGGUUAAAAAACUAUAAACACGUUGAGCUCUCCUGCUUUUAAAAACAAAGGAGCUUAACUCUAGAAGGAUAUACAUUUUUUGUUACUAAUAAACAGCAAAAAUAAUAAAUAAAAGUUUAUUGCAAGGAGCUGCACCUAAUAAAUACCCUUUCUAAAAGGAGGAAUGUUACAUAUAUAUUAAAAAAAUGAGUAUAAAUUUUAUAUUUCACCUAUUAGGAGAUUUAGAUAUCUCUUCUAAAUUUAUAAUAUUAAAGAAAGAGAUUAAUAAUAUUAGCGUGAAUAAAGUAAUCCUUCGAUAGGAGGAUAGGCUUUUAAUAUUAAAAAAUUGAUAAGAUCAGUGUGAAUAAAGUGAUUCUUAAAUAAGAGGUGUAAAAUUUACGCUCAAAUUUUGCUUGCAACAGUUAUGUCGUGAUAACAAUAUCCCAUUGAAGAGUUUUAUGUUGCGCAAAAUGCAAAAUCAAAAUUAUUUUAAAUAUUAUUUUAAUGUGAAAUUAUAAUAUUGUCUUAUUAUUAGGCCUUUCACUAUCUCCUAUAGUACAAUAGGAUUGAUUUAAUAUAUACCUUACAUAGUAUAAUUGUUAUAAAGAAUGUUUUUUCCUCUGUAUUAUGCACUUCAUAUUCAAUAGCAAUUAUGAUAAAUAUUUAUUCAAAUAAUGGUGAAGAAAAAACUUGUUCUUGUUGAGAGUUCACAUAUGAAUUACUCCAUGUCGGAUAAUUAUAAGAGAGUAAAAGAGCUAAUACAUGCUAGUAUGCUCAGCUUAAGAGGCUUAGGUUUUCAGAUUGAAUGUGUUUCAUUAGAUAUAUCACGUUCUUUGACUCGUGUGGGGAUGAGCUUGGCCUAGAACUUCCUAACAAUUCUGGUACGUUUUACGUUAGAUAAUAAGAAAAAAAAAUUGCAUCUAAGAUAAUACUUUAUUUUCAAAGUUUUUCAAAAGAUAAUUUUACUUUUUAAGAGUUUGUUUCAGAUAAAAGAGUGCACUGAAAAGCUAUUCCCUAAACUUUCUAUCAUGACCGUACGUAUAUCUUACUUUUCUGAUGAUUCUAUUAUAUCCAGAUAAAUAAUCUAAAAAUAAUGAUCUAAGAAGUUAGAAAUUCAAUUUAAAGUGAAACUCAAGGUCAGGAUAGACCUCAAUUUAAAUUCAAAUAAAUAUUUUGCAUAACUAUUGUGAAAAGAAGCACCCACGGAGCUACGAUUUGUGACAUUCCGAGGCUUGAGAUAGACCCACAUUGGAUAGCUAUGGCUAGGUGUGAAGUAUAUAAACUUGAAUGAGCUAAACACAAUAACUGAGCUAAAGUAUUUUGGGCUGGUGGUUUGGACCUGAGUUAUUAUUGCUAGUAGACAGAAUCAUUAUAUUUUGUGUCAAAACUGAAUAUUAGAUGAAGGUCGAGUCGUUGCAUGAUCAUCCAACACACUUCAGUUUCUAUAACCUAAAUUGGAAAAAAGGAAAAAAAAAAAAAAAAAAAAAAAAAAAACAUGAUUGAAAAUAUCUAAGAUAGAUAAAAAUAGAGUUGAUGUUUUGAGGAGAAAGAAAAUGAGGACACUUUACCUCACAAUCAAUUAAUUAUGGAAUGACACCAAAGAGUGUGGCUACAUCUGCAUCUGACCAUGGAUAGUGGGUGCAUAAAAGAGUGUUGGUUUAUAGCUUUAUUGAAGUAGAAAUUAUUCAAUAUAUAAUUAAGCCUUUUAAAGUGUGGUAAUGCAUAUUUGAAAUUACUAAAUUUAGAUUUAAACUUAGGGUUUUAUGAUGUCUAUUUUUGAGUUUUGUAGACCAUAGGUAUUACAAAUAUAAACCCAUUUGAUAUGACUAUCUAAUCUUUAAAAGUUUUAAUUUUAUUGUGUAAAUAUUUUUAUUUAUUUGAUUUAAGUCAUUUUAUGAUUGUUUUUUCACGUUAUAAUUUGACUGUGUUGUAGAGUAUGUCAUACGGUUCAGAUGACUACUUUUCAAUUAAAACAUACAAUGCAUGCAAAUAUCUACCUAAAAUAUCACCAAAUGGUUCAAAUCAAAAUAAUUGAAAGCUUUAUAAAAUUGAAUAGCUUAAAGUUUAGGUGGUCAUUGUCAGAAUAGUACAUAAGUUAAGUAAGUUUUAUGUAGGGCUAUUAACGAGCUGAACACGAGCUGACUCGUUUAAAAAAUCAAGCUGAAAAAUUCAGCUCACGUUCGGCUUGUUUAGUAAUGGCUUGUUUAUUAAGCGAACAGUAAGUUAAAUUGUCAACUCUAUUACUUGAUAAAAUAUUGAAAAAAAAAAAAUUAGAAUUAAUCUUAAUCUAAUAAUUAAAAUUCACAAAAUAUAAAGCCUUUUAUGAUCUAAAUAGUAAAACGGUAUUGAUGUAAAGGCUAGUAGCAAUUAAAAGGAUUGAUUUGAAUACGAAAAAGUUAGAGGUAACAAUGGAUUAAUACUUCUAGAAGUAUUCUACCUCACCCCUAUAUAUAUAUAUAUAAAAUUAGGCUGGAAUACUAUUAAUAGUAAAACACUAUUUUUGCUAUCAAGUUUUUAAUCCUUGAAUGAAAAAUUAUAGGGUCGGGAUGAUAUUAGUCGGUUAGAGUUGAGUGGUCCCCCUAGGGUUGCGUGGUCCCCACUGGGUUAUAGUAUUUAAUCCAAUGGUUAGAAAUAAUAAAAAGAGUUGAUCCAAAGGCUAAAAAACUGGUAGCAACAAUGGAAUUUUGCUACUAAUAGUAGUCCAAUCCAACUCUCUCUCUCUCUCUCUCUCUCUCUCUCUCUCUCUCUCUCUCUCUCUCUCUCUCUCUCUCUCUCUCUCUCUAUAUAUAUAUAUAUAUAUAUAUUCGAGCAAUAUUGAACCGAACACGAAUGAGCUGGCUGCAGCUCGUAUUCGGCUUGUUUAUUAAACAAAUGAUCAUUCUCGAGCUCAUUUAAAGUUGAACACGAGCUGACUCGCGAACAACGAACUGGAUUGUCAAACUUUAGGAAUGGGUGCCCUCCGGGCAGGCAUCUUUAGAGGGAAAAAAGCAAUAUCGAGCCGAACACGAACAAGUGAGCUGACUCCAGUUCGUGUUCGGCGCUUUGUUAUUAAACAAACGAUUAAUCAUAAGCUUGUUUCAAGUCGAAUACGAGCUGACUCGCGAACAGUGAGCUGGAUUGUCGAACUCUAGGAAUGGGUGCCCUACAGGCAGGCAACUUUAGAAGGAAAAAAAAAAAAAAAAAAACGCAUGAUUUUGACACAAGGUACCAGGUGCCUGCUCGUGCUAAAUGGACCCUUGUACACUUGCGGCAGGAGCUUUUGGGCGAAGCAGUUUUGGGGAUGACAAAUUUGGAAUUGGGCCACAUUUAACAUCAACUGUUCUCGCAAAUCACACGUGUCCCAAAUGGAACAAGUUUGGUGAGUUUCACGUGUGAAAAUCCUUUUACUUCGCACAGCUAAAGCUAGUAGGAAAGGGUCCUACUUAUUCUUAACUCCAUGUUUACUUGUUUGGUUAUAUUGUAGUUAUUAUAAUUAUAUCUGCAUACAAAUUUAAUUCUGAUGUUUAGUUUAUGCAUUUAAAUUUAGUUGGAAUUGCGUGAGAAGGCCCAACUGCAGAUCUUAGAAUUAUGUCCAAAUUUGUCGCAUUUUCAACUACAACCACUUGGAAUGAGUAAUCAUAAACAAAAAAACAAACGUAUCUUCUAAAUCUUCAUAUAUACAUAUAUAUAUAUAUAUAUAUAUAUAUAUAUAUAAAAUAAUAAAAUUUUAAAAAUAUACUUUUUCAUUGCAUGAAAUCAAAGAAAUUAUUUAUAAUUGCACUGUUUUCUACUACAUUAACCAAAUUUAGAUAUAUGUAAUUAUAUCUACUACAUUUUUAACUACAGUUCUAAUUAUAUCGGGCCAAAUGGGCCCCAAUAUAUUGUGAGAAAGUGUGAUGAAUUGUUUUUAUAAAUAACAACAUGUCAUGUCGAUCGUAACGAUUUGAUUAGAAUACAAUUAAUAUUUGCAGUUUCAUCGAAAAAUGAAAAAACAUCUCGAUCUUUAUAUAAUUUCACUGUACUUUAUUGAUGCCAAUAGCUUUAGCUAAUCGGCUUUCAAUAUUAUACAGACCUUUGAUAAAGUUUAGCUUUUCAGAAGCUCUCCGAUGAUAGUGAAAAUUUGCGUCAAAAAUUUUGAAGAUUCCUACCACCAUUUUAUAGCAAUUGAAUUGAUUUCUAAAGCGCUCAACUAUUUUUCUUGGUAAAAAUAUGCUAAACUAAUAUCAACUUUUGGGCUAAUAUAAAAUUGACUAUUCACGAUCUUGUUUGGCUUUGCUGUUAUUUUUUAAUUUUUUUUAACAUAAUUAUAUGUAGCUAGCUAGAUAUGCCAGCAAACAGGACUCCUACAUAUUUUCUCCCAACACUUCCACAUAGAAUUCCUGCUUGAAAAAAAAUUGAAGAGAUAACAACAAUAUGGAACAAAUUAAGACUAGUAUUUGCAAAUUUUGAAUUCACUAUCUUACCUUUCAAUUCUUCUAAUUUGAGUUUUUUUUAUGGCUCUAAAAUAUUUUGCAUAUACCUCACCCAUUAGUCCAUCCACGCACUCUAUAUUUAUUUGUCAUUCCUCAUAUUUGAUAAGUUCAAUCUCUGCAUGUCAAUAAAUUAUAGUUUUUUUCGAUUUAAAACUGGAUGGUUAGUGUUAGGAAUCCAAAUGAAUCUGGUUUGGCGGAGCUUCUGUCCCAAUCUACUCCAAAAGGGAAAAUAUUUGAAAGAUAAUAGUAAAUUUAGGCAGUAAAUGAAGUCUUUUUUAUGAUCUGCGGAGGAUUCGGAGAGAAAGAUGAUGAAAAAUUAAUUCGCUUCAUAAUAUGCCCUGAAUAAAGAUUUAAAUUGUAGAAUUUUUUUUUCGAAUAUUAUUUGAGUUUUAAAUAUUAGUUAUUCCUAAUAUACAUAUAAUGUGAAAAAUAGUUGCUUUUAAUUAAACUAAUAAAAUUUCAUUAUUUUACAUUUUAUUUAAUUGAACUAAUAAAAUUUAAUUACAUUCAAUUCAAAUUUGUAUAAAAAAUAGAAAGAAAAAAAAAAUUUGUGGGGGCGCAUUCAGGGUGACAGGCCUUAAGUGAGUUUUUAGGCAAAGCAGAUUAUGAAAGAAAUAUUUACUCCCAUACAGGGGUAGGACAACCAUACUUGGUUGAGGAUCUUCUUAAUGAGUUCUUAUUAACACAGUUUGGCGAGCCGUAUAAUUCAUAGCACCUGUGAAUUUUAAAGGUCUAUUUCAAUAUAUCUUGAAGGUUUUUACUGAAUCUUAACAUCAUAUUGAAUUUUCGAUUCUGCUAUAGGAAGGAUCUAUCGACACAAUUUUUUGUGUAGUGCUUUUUUAACAGCACUUCUUAAACAACACUUCAUCAAAUAGUACUGUAUCCUACAGUAUGGCCGAUAAAGCCCUGAGUAUCCAAAAACACCUUCACAACUCAAAGAAACCCAAGAAAUCAUUUGAACGGCUGUUAACAUUUAAAAGCUAGAAAGAAACGUUUUGUACAGGGAACAGAAAUUUCUACAACUCUUAUGCAGUUUCAGAAAAGAGAAGAGAGAAGAGAUAAGACGAUGAUCGAGAAGGGCAGAGUUACAGUGCUGAAGCUAAUCUUCCUCGAAGUAUUUCUCCUCGGCGUCAUAGUUUGCUUCCCUGACCCAAUGAUCGUCCAGUCGUUCAUCGUUGUCGAUCUGGGAAUAGUCGAAAUGCUCCGUGUCUUCUCCUGCCAGGAACUUCUGCUGCAUUAUCAGCGUGAACUGCUCCAGCUGAUCCUGCAUCUCUUCUCCAGAUAAUGUCUGCUGGAAGUCCUCCGUAGCCUCACCCUCGGCGCCACCGGUGUUUGAUUCCCGCCCCUCGUCAAGAGGCAUCUGUACACAGCAAGCAGCACAAAGUUUUCUUUGUUAAGAAACAUUUCUACGUAUUCGCCAGCCAAAAAGCAUCAACGAACAAGUCGCCGUGCUAAUCCGAAAAUACCAAACAGAAGCUUUGAAUAUAGCCGGAGAGGCAAGCACAGUAAAAAAUAGCCCAUGCCCACAAUGAAUGCGCGUCGAACUAUAAUUGACAUUUAUAAAUCAGUAAGCAAAAUAGACUCAAAAGGAUCUUUAAAAGAAAAUUGAGAAGAAUGGCUGACAGCUUACAGAGUCGUCCUAUCUACAAUAUUUGACAAAAAUAAAUUGCUGGCUGCUAUUUACAAAGACGAAUUGCCAAUUGCUACCCAAAACAGGUAACAUGGCUACGCAGCUUAAGUUCAAAAUCCCAACACAUCCAGGCGAUCCUCUACAAUUACACAUUAACAACUAAUUCUGAAUAAACAGGAGCCUAUAAACAUGUAGCCCAAACCUCAGAAACUAUUGCCGUCGCACAUCUGCUGCUCAUAGUCAUUUUGUAGUUACAAAGGAAUCUUUAAUCACCUUCACUAUUUCCUGAUGUGGAACUAUCUUACUAUCCUUUCUCUUCAACCAGUUAAAUAUGAAUGAUGCUCCGCCCGUUUCAUGACAAACAGUUUGAUUGCUCUUCUCUAACUAAGAUUACCGUAAAGAAAUACUAAAUUUGAUCUGCAAGCACUCAUAAUUAUUGGAUGCAAAUCACUUAUUUUCCUUAAGAUAAACCAUUUUAAUCUAUAACGACGUGGCCAGGAGCACAGAAUAUGGUGAGACAUGUCAUGCAAUAUCAACAUGACAUUCCUUGAAUUAAAUAGGCAUGUGCAAGGUAAACGAACACAUAUAAUAUGCAAACGACGCAAAAUCCGGACACUAUAUAGACAAUAUUUCUCAAAUUUAUAAAUAUAUUAUUGUGGGCUUGAUGAUAAUCACUACUCUGUUCUUCAACAAUUUAGGUAUCAUCAAAACAGAUGUUUGAACAAAAAAGGAAAAUCACAAGGAUUUACAUGGAGAGAAAAAUCCGAAAGGCACACGCUGUACUAUGGUUUUUUUUGGCAAUGUUAACUCUAGUCAUGCAUCAAAAGGACAAGAUGCAUGGAAGAGUCGCUAUACUUUCAUGAUACAGUGAUUAGGACCUCUAACUUUUUUACUUUGAAUAAUUCAGUCCUCAAGAUGAAUUAAAAAUAUACAAAUUUGGGACAUGGAUUGACUACAUGGGAAAGUUUGGUGACUGAAAUGCCUAACUGUAAAGUUUAGGAACUAAGUCGCUAUAUUCACAAAAGUACAUGGACUAUCCAUAUCACUAUAGUCACAAAUGUACAGAGACUAUCUAUAUAUUUUAACCCUCCAUUAAAUAUGACAGAUCAUAAUUCACUAUAAUCCUUGAUAGAUAUAAACAUAUGACCUGCUAUCAUUAACUGAAAGGUAAAAAUAGUACGACAAAGAAACGUCCUCAGAUUCAUGACAACCAAAAUUUGGAUGUCUUUAUUCCAUUAAACAUAUUAUGUAUACAAGAUGCUAUCAUUGUCUUAAUAAAAGAAAUGGUUCCCACAAAGUUCUUUUGAGGAAGAGAGACACACCAAACCAUGAAUGUUUCUAAGCUAAAUUUACAUUUUUUAUUAUGUCCUGACAUCGAGUACUGGAAAGACUCAAAGAAGCAACACAAAAUUUCUUGGUUGGAGUUAUAUGUCAUCAAAUAUGAUCUAAGUAUUUCUACAGGCAAAACUAACAGAUUUAGGAUGCCCUUUCCCUUUGCAUCAAGCCAUCAACUCGACAAAAAUAAUGUUUAAAUUGAACAACCUAGGGAUUUCCAUCUGAUAAUCAGUUCGCCAUUCUUGAUUUAGGCAUUAAAUGCUUUUUACCAAACUUGUUUCAAUUAAUUUAUAUCCUUUAGAACUUGGACAAACUCCUCCUAUCUGCUUGAAUAGUACGAUUCUUCGUUUCUAGGCUAAAUUACAAAAAACACACCUGCAGUUUCUUCUCUUUCUUCAUUUGCCAAACUGCAUCUUAAAUUGCAUCUACUUUAGCCUUGCACUCACUCUCAUUCAAAAUAGAUUGAAAAUAUUGGGAUAACUGAUAAAUUAAAUGCAAAACAUUGCAAGCAUGAGUUGGGAUAUAACAAGGAUUCUAUAUAUGGACAGUUAUCAACCUUCAGACCUAAAAUAAAUCUAGAAUUAAAAAAUAAAAGGAAAAAGAUCUACUUCUCUACAACAGCAAGAAACAAAUUGGACAACCAUUUUACAGAUUUAAGAUGGUUCCGAGCAGACCAAUAUAUUCAGAAGACUGGGACUCACCGCAGUAAAAGUGUUUGACUACUAUUUUGCAAGACUUCUCUGUAUCAUCUCCAAGCUCAAGGGAUUAGCUCCCCACCACACUCAUGAUCAUUCUGUCCACAUUAUUCCAGGUUCCGCUAACAGUGAAUGUGAGGUUCAAGUCCAACUCUGGGUACCAUACUAUACACGCACAAGAUGGUUUUUUGGACACAUAAUAGUCACCAUGGGCUUCUUGUCAUGCAUUUUGGCUUGACUAAUAAUCUAUCGCCUUCUCACUUUGGUGAACACUGUUUCUACACUUUUCCUCAAACACUUACAUUAAUAAUCUUGGACCGCCUUGUCUACAACUAAUUUUAGGAGGACCAAAUGGCACAUUUGCAUGCGACAUACAGAGACAACGAAGUUUCAGAGGGAAUAUUUGGCCCACAUUUCAAUUUGAUUUGAAUUGCUCCUCAUUACAGAAUGUCAUAUUUCCUAAUUGCAAAGGAACUUUGACAAGAACAAUUAAUAUUGACAAGAACCAUUAAUUGUGAGGGCUAUGAAAGCACACUUUCAUCUUCUUUCCUAGUCUCUUUAGUUUUCUUUGAUUGGUUCAGAAUACAAUUUGGAAUUCACAAUCUUUUUUCGUAUUUAACAAAGGACUUUAGUAUUUCUUUUUUUAAUAUGUGAGGCUACAUUCGACCUUGAUCCCGUAAAUUCUCCUUAAGUUGUGCAUAGAAAUAACUAACAUAAUUUUGUUUCUACUAUUAGCUAUUUACAAAUCACAAGAUGCUUAUUAGUUCUACUAAUUUUUACCAUACCUCAUUAGCUGGACAGAUGAUAAAUUAGCAACAAAAGAGAGAACACAGGAUAACACUACAGCAAAAUGGUUAUGCAACCAAAAUAGCAAGUCCUAUGCUAACUAUUUUAACAGUCCUCCUGCAAUUUUAGAAGAUCAUAUAGAUCCUACAAUUAUCAGUGUGUUUUUCUUUUAAAAGAAGCCAUCUCCCCAAAAUUAACUAGAUAAACAUUAGUUAAUAUGGGUGCGUUUGGAUUGACGAAUCGCUAUAACUAACAUACUAAAGCGCAAUGGUGUUGUUUUGACGUAACUCGUACAGUCUAAAAGUUGAAUUCAAUCACUUCUUCUAUUUGUUUUGGUGUAACUUGAUGUUGAUGAAUUUAGUUUUUUGAGUUACAUUGUUUGUUUUGAUGUAUGUAAGUGGGUCUCAUUAUCUCCUAAAUAUAGUGAUAAAUUUAUCCCUAUAAAAUCCAACCUAUUAAAUAAUUAAAUUCCUCAUUAUUGUUUGGAAAUAAUCUUAAACCAUUGUAAAAAAAAAAAAAAAAAAAAAAAAAAACUCUAACCUGUUCUAAAGGAAAUAGAGUAUCGGUUUUAAUAUUUAAUAAAUUUUUUGGAGAAACUUGAGUGUGGUGGAACUUGAGUUCGGUACUCUAGAGAGAGAAGUCAAGACUCAAGAGUAGGUGAAGUGGAGGUUUAACGUAACUUGAAUUAUAUAUAUUUUUUUUUAUUUACAACAAAACAAACACCGGAAGUGAUGGAACUUGAGUUCCACCCCUCCACUUACACCAAACUAAACAGCCCCUAUACGUAUAAUUGGAGUUUGAGUUUGUUCCGCUCAGAAAAACCGUCACUAAGUGGCUAAGACGAUUCCUCCGUGAUGUUCUAAUUAGUAAACAUCCUUUACCUCUUAUAAAAAUCUUUUGAGCUAAGCAUAAAUGACCGCAUAAUUGUAAGACAUAAAAACAUAAGAGAGCUAAUCAAAGAAAGCAUAAUAUACUAAUAUCAUAUUAAAUCUUGUAGCAAUUUUGUUGAUUAAUCAAUCGAAAGUCGGUGCAGUUGCCUUAAAAUCAUCAGGGUCAAUAGGGCUAAGCCCACACUCCUAAGUCAAAAGUUUUAAAUGCUAAAUCAGUUGAAGUUAAAAGGAUGACUAGUUCUUGAGCUGAGCCCUUCUUUCUCAUCAAUCCUAUAGUAAUGGUGCAUGCUGCCUAAAAGAUAAAGAAUUAGUAAGAUUUGAACUCUUAAAAAUUAGGAGACCCAUAAAAGCAAGGUUCUGUACUUCUGUACUACUUGGCGAUGCCAUUAGCAGGUCAUAAUGAAUGCGUCAGGCAUGGACAUGAAUAUUGAGUUGCGUCCCAAAUCCGAACAUGAUGAAUUCAUGCAAACUUCUCGCUAAGUUCAUUUUUAGUCCGACAAAAUGGUCGGUGAUUUUAAACAAUCGAAUUCCCGAAUCGUGUGUUCUUUGAUUCUCAACAAGGUAAUUCCCUUUUAUCUAAAAAUCUAGACAUACAAAUUUUGUCCAAUAGAAUAACAUAAUAACUUCAAAAAUGGUAUGCUUGUGUAGGCUUAAGAAAUAGUACCUUUGCUGCUUCUUCCUCUUCCUCUUCCUCCUCCUCCUCUUCUUCUUCCUCCUCCUCCUCUUCUUCCUCCUCUUCCCUUGCGCACCCACCGACCCACUCUCUCCUAUCGACGCCUCGCCUCUGCUGCUCGCCUCUGAUCUUCUCGACGAUCGCCGCCUCCUCGCAGCGCCGCAGCAGCGUCUCCAACCACCGCUCACCGGGCCGGGACAUCGCCCGCCCCGCGGGGUCCUGGAACUGCCCCAGAUACUCAUGGUGGAGGUACGGCUCCCGCUCCCGCAUCGCCUCCUCGGAGAAGUACUCCCCACCGCGCACCAGCCGCUCCAUGUACGCCCUCCGCCGGUUCUUCACCGUCGCCAGCCGCGCCCGCGUCUCCUGGACCGUAGGCGUCUCCCGCACCCGCCGAAGCCGCGCGAGGUGCCACGCCACCUCGUAGUCGUUGCCGAGGGCGUCGAACGCGUCGAGCUCCUCGGCCGUGAGCUCGGAGCCGUAGCGCUCUGAUCGAGAAGAGGAGAGGUUUCGAUUUAGAGAGUUAGGGUUAGGGUUAGCGUUAGGGUUAGGGUUAGGGGUUGGGAGCGGGGAGCGUACCGAGGAAGAGAGGGGGGUCGCGGGAGAGGAGGUGGAGGAGGGCGGAGUGGCGGAGGGAGGAGGGGUCGGGGGCGCCGCCGCGGUGGAUGGCGCCUGGGAAGUAGAGGCCCUGGAUGGCAGACAGCCGCGCCGCGAUGCCCUCCAUCGCCGACCGCUCCAUGGUUUGCUGGCCUGGCUGCGCCGCUGGCACUUCUGGACGCGCCGUUCAGGGCAGACUGCUAAUAUUUACAAUUCAAUUAAUUAAUAUUAUUAUUUAUCCAGCUACUGCACUCUUAUUAUGAUUAUUAUAUAAUAUAUACUUCUUUUUAUACUUAUAAAUUUUUAAAAUAUUUUAUUUUUAUAAUUAUUUUUAUUUUACUAUUCCACAAAUCAUCUGCUCAAUUUGUAAAAUCGCUAUUAUUCUAACUGUAUAUUUUUUUAUUCAACGGUCGAAAACUUAUGAUUACUAGCGCAGUAACCCGCGCGAUGCUGCGGAAAAAUAUUAUUAUAAUAAAUUUUUAUCAUAUCUACUGAAUUUUGUGUUUUAGAGCGUAAACUAUUUUUUCAUCUUUCAAAAUACCAAAUUUUGCUCAUUUUUCGACUUAUUUUUGUAAUAUUCAACAUAUAACUUUGAUUUUUUUACUGCAAAUUUUGCUAGUUUUUUCCCUCCAUAAUUAUACUGUUUGAUUUUAUUCUUCCUCUGAUUCUAAUUUUAAAACUUAUUCUCUGUAAAUAAGUAAAAACAUAUACAUUAAAUUUGAAAAUCUUAUCAAAACGUAACUGAAAGCAUAAAAAUAAUAUUAAAAUAAUUAAAAAGUAAGUAAAAGUAUAAAAAAAUUUAAAUAAAUGAAAGAUAGUAAAAAAAAUAUUUGGAAUACAUAAGAAGAAAAGAAUGAAGUAGAAUGAAUAGUAAAAAUAAUAAGAAAAGUAAGCAUAAUAAUAGCUGAUUAUACUAAAAAAGUACUGUAACAGUAAUAGCAAAUCAGAAAUAACAAAGUAAAAUAAUAAUAUUUUUUUGCAAUCCAGAGUUAUAGUAGAAAAAAAUAAUAAUAGUAGAAGAUUAAGUGCAGCGGUACAAAAAAUUAAUUAGAAUACAUAUGUAGAACUUAAUAGUAAAAAAAUAAUUUGGAAAAAAAAAAACAAAAGAGCUAUAAGAAAAAAUAAAGCGAGAAAAAAUAGAUGAAGAUACAACAAAAGAAUCACUUAAUAAAAAGAAGAGUUACAGAACCUAACCAGCAAAGAUUUUAAAAAAAUAAAAUAGCUAAGAACCAGAAAAAGCUACAAAAUUAAUAUAAAAAGAAAAAUAGAAGGAUAAAUUAAAAGGAGCAUAUGAUGUUGCUCAAAUUUCUGCUUCUAUUACUGUUGUUUCUACUGCAUCUUCAACCCUUUUUUUUUUUUAUUUGUUUUUCUUACAUAGAAAGAAAAUGAGUACAAACAUAAGAAAAUUAAAAAAUUGUUUCUAUUGUGUACAUGUAAAAUAAAAAUUGAAUAACAUUCUAAACCAUAAAAUUGACAGUUACUUAUGUUUUCAUAGUUGGUAUUGCCGCUGAUACUUUUAAUGCUGGUGAUGCUCCUUCUAAUUUUACUCUAGGCUUAGACUUCAAUAAAUUUUAUUAGUAAUCAAUAAAGAUAAUUUAUACAUUUUAACUGUUACAAAAAUGAAUUGUACCGAAAAGUAAAAAUUACCUCAAUAGUUACUUCAUCGAUUGUUGAGAGAAAUCAAUGGUUGCAACAAUUGUACAAUUGCUAUCCGAUCAGUUUUAUCAUAUAAAAAUUUGUUGAUAUAUAAUCAUAUAAUUAUUCAUUUUUCAUCAUCGUCAAUAACAUAAGAAAUAAAAAACGUAUAUAAUAAAUUUGUAAAAUCUAUUAAAAAGUAAUUAAAAUUAAAAAGGUAAAUAUUAAAAUAAGUGAAAACAUUUAUUUGAAACUAUAUAGAAAUUUUUUAAAUAGCUCUCUAUAAUUGGUAACCAAAAAAUUAAAUAUCUCACUAAUUCCUAAAUUAGAGAAUGUUUCUAUAUUUUUUUCUUGGUUAUUAAUUUUGCCUAGUUGUCAGGGAGCAUAGAUUUAGCGAAAUGAACUAAUUUUUCUAUUGUAAAUAUAUAAGCAGGCACAUUUAAUUUGAAUAGCUCUCUUAUCCAUAAAUUAGAGGAUUAAUAGUAAUUUUUAUUUUUUUCUAAAAAAAUAUGAAUAUAGUAGGUUAAUUAAACUUAAUAUAUAUAAAAGGGUUAUGAAUAGAAACGCUUACAAAUUCAAAACCGAAUGAUCGCAGAAGCCACCAAAAGCAUGCCGACGGUAAGAAAGCAAAAUUCAAAUUUAUUAAAGAAUAUAUAUGCAGUAGGCAAACCAAACUAAGUUUAUAUAGAAAAAUUAUGCACAGAAAAACUUAUAUACUUAAAACCAAAUGACGGCUGAACAACCACCAAUAGUUAACAUAUUCCUAAGUCAAAGAUAUAUCAACAUUAUUUUUUAAAAAACUUUAUAUGAUAGAUAAUCGAAGUUACAAAAAAAAAUAACAAAUAGAAAUCAAUGAUAAAAAUCCUUGAAAACAGAGAAACUGUUGCAGCCAACUGCGGUCAGUUUCCUGAGAUGAAAGAAAUAAUAUUCAGUAUUAAAAAAAUUAUGUUGUAGGCAAAUUGAAAUAUUAAAAAGAAAUAUAAGCAUAGAUUUGAGAUUUCUCACAGAAAAAAUUUUCUAUUCUAUAGGAAUUGUCUUUAUAUCUUCAUUUGAAAUCAGGCAACAGCAUUACAGUUUAUAGUGUCAUCUAAUAAUAUGUUCUUUGAUUAGAGAAAGUUGAGGCAAUUAGAGGUUCGCAAUUGUCUUGGCGUCUACAUUGACCAAUUAAUUACCUGAAAUUCAAGCUUCAAAAUAGUUUAAAAUUUUUAAAAGACAAUUGCAGAAGAAUUAUCGUGGUUCAACUACAAAUUAGCAAUAUAAAAACAAUAAUCAUAACCAAUAAUAAUGUAAGGUGGUGGAGUGCUGACUCUGCAGAUUUCCAGCGAUGACCUUUAGUGUUUUGGCUCGUGCGCGACGUAGGGAGGUCGGAUCACUGUGAAACUUGGUUUAUUGGAUUCUAGACUUCCAAAGAAAUCCAUAAAGCCCUGAAUUACAGAUUUUGGUUGAAGUUAGCUUGGUUGUUUACACGUUUUUCUAGACUGCUGGCAAUAUUGAGCUGAAAUUGAGGAUUUUGAGCUUUUCUUGAUGCUAUCUUUGUAGGCAGUGGACUUUUGGACCUGAGACACAUCAUUCUUCUAUACUUACUGGAUUUGAGACCUUCCUCACCUAAUUUGGAGGUAGUUAGGUGAGUUUUGACAUUGCAAUUGAGAUUAAAUUAAGCCUUAGUGCUGAAAUAGUGUUAAUUGAUGGAAUUCAAUGUGUAGAGCUUGGAGAUAGCUUGAUUUCUGGUGUUGGAGGAUUUUGGUUGAUCCAGCAGGGAUUAGCAUUGGUUCGGGACCCUUCUUUGCUGCCAGGAUUAGCAAUUAAGGUGGGUGUAUCAUUGGUUUCGCUCCUAAGUGCAUGUUUAGUCGACGCGUAUGAUUUUCGGUUCUUGUAUAUCAUGCUUAAUUCAUUGAUUAGCAUCUUGGCUAUAAUAUGAAUAUUGAAGCAUGCUGAAAUGAGUAUUUACAUUAUUCAUGUUGGACUUGGAAAUAUCUUAGGAGAAAAUUGCGUUUUGACCCGUCAUAUGAUUCUACUACCUGAUUUAGCUUUAGGAGCCGUGUUUUGAUUGUAUCAUCGCUGUUUCAACGCGGUGGAUAUCCGGGGUAGUUUAGAAUGCAUUUUACGCUCGUGCUGGGAUGCCGAGCUUAUUUUUACAGCAGAGUCUAGGCUGUUUCGGGUUGUCGGGUGCCGUCGGGGUAGAUGGUGGACCCAGAUUCUUGUUUUGGUCUCAGAUUGUGCCGAGAGCACGUGGGUUUGGUUUCUAGACCUGUUUUGACCCUAGUUAUUUGACUUUGGCUUGUUAGAGCCUGAUUGAGCUCGACAGAGAUACGCUUGCAUACUCGGUUGGGUAGCGCCCACGAGUGCUACUUCGGAGUCGGGCUUUGCGAGUUUGCGUUGGUGUCGUUCGUGCAGGUUGGACUUGCUCUCAACGAACUAGUUAGUGUAGAGGUAGCUGGAUAGUCGCAACCAAGCGGGACGGGUGUGUUCACAGUCCCAGGGACGGGUAUGAUUACAGUCCUUACUUGAGUUUGGGUCUGAGUUGACAUAGUUCUACAGAGGGUUAAGAGUUAGAGCAUGAUAGUAUAGCGAUAUUUAGUUGUAAAUUCGUUCCAGCUUUCUUUACUAUUCCUGCUUAUCCUUGUAGACUUAGUCGGUGGACCGAUGAGUUCGAGGGUGGUACCCACUAAGAACUACUUUUUGUAGUAGUUCUCACGCCUCGUUGUUACCCUGUUUUUGCAGAGCCUUCUGUUCCGGCUGCUGCUACUACCGAGACUGAUCGUGGUAAGGGCGUUGCGAGUUAGAGCCCUUCCAGACAAGUCGCAGAGUUAGAGGAGCACCAGCUACAGGUAGUUGUAGUUUUUGGGUCUUUACAUACAGUUGUUAUAUCUCGCCAGAGCGAGUAGUUGUAUACCUGGAUUACAUGUAUGUAUUGAACCACAGUUUAUAUAUAUAUAUGGUUUAUUUCUUUAGCUGCUCUGUACUACUGUUUGUAGUAUUGUAUGGUUACGGGUGCUUCUAUUUUUUGCUUCGUAUACAGGAAAAAUACUUAUGUAUACGGCGGGUCUGUUAGUGAGCCCGAAAAAACGAGUAAUCCGGGGUGUGACAUAUAUAGGAUAUAGAAAGAAACAGUAAAUAAAUGAAAGGCGGUGAAUGAUUCACCGUCGACUUUAAAAAAAGGGAGAAAGCGGGAAAGAAAUAGAAGAAAGCGAUGAACGAUUCACCGCCUUUAAAAAAAAUUCUGAUGUGGCGCCGACGUGGCGAAAGAAAGAUUAGUUUUUCAAAUAAAAUUUUGAGAGGGUUAUUUCGUAAAUUUUAAAAUUUUAGAGAAUUAUUUUAUUUUAUAAAAAAGUCCCUUGUAAGUCUAUCACUAUGGCAGUUUCGUCAUCUUAUUAUGGCCUCCGAUAAAUCAAUGAAUAAUUAAUGAAUAUAGCUGUAUGUUUAGAGCUUUUACUGUUUUCAGCUUUGGGUCUAUGAUCGACAUAGUGUAAAGAUAACUCAAACAUACAUUUUGGAUUUCAACUCGUUUUAACGUGGUGGUGAUUUAAAAGUAAAAAACAAUAUCAUCAACCCCGAGGUACAUCCGCAGACCUCGAGCGACUCACCGCAUGUUUAAUGAUUCGGAUAUAAAGUUCACAAUAUUUAAAACGUUGAUUCUUUCAACUGUAAAGAAGAGGAUUUAUUUGAUUUGUUGAAAAAUAAUAUAUGAAAUAGAUAGAUUGUAAGAAAAUAAUAUAUAAAAUGUACAAUUUUUUUUUUAGGGGCAAAUAGAUACUGUACAGUGGCACAAAAUAUAUUUAAUAAAUCAGAUUUUCGGUGCAUGGUUUUAAGAUACGCGCUGCAUGGGGUGUAUAUAUAGCUGCAUCUGCGGCGUAUCAACGUCGUACAAUUUGUUCAGCACAUUACAUCUUUUGGCGGAACUUUCCAACCAGACCGAGGGCGAUAGGUGUCGCACUGGGGAUCGAGCACCACAAGUCGUACGAAGUGCAAGCUGGCAGCCCAACCGAGAGGACCCGUUCCCCUCGCGGCAAAAGCUUGAGAUCGCCUCGAUCCGCGUGCCACAUUUUUCCUACCAAUCUUUCCUUUCCUUUGCUUCCUUUCCUUUGCUUCCUACAGUUAUCAAAUGAGGCAUCAACUACAAAGUCAAAUUGAACUGAUUCUAAAAUUAAAAAUUAAAGAAAGUAAUUUUUGGAAUCCAAAACUUACAAAAAAAUCCAUUUAUUUAGAAGAAUAUUAGAAAUAGAGCAAUCGAGGAAGUGAAGCAAAGAUAUUUCAAACUAUCAUACUACCAUAGGUGUGAGAAAAGUAUCAAAGUAGGAAAUCUAAAAGAUGAUUAUCCAAUCCAAUAGUUUUUGAUGUACACAGGCUGCACAUUAUCAAACAACCCAAAAAUAUCAGCCUUCACAAAAUUAAAACCAAAAAAAUAUCAGUGAAAAGUAGAUCCUGAAUCCAUAUCAGUGAAAAGUAGAUCCUGAAUCAAGGAAAAGGGUGCAUACUGUCAAGUGAGGCAUCAACUACAAAGUCAAAUUGAACUGAUUCUAAACUUAAAAAUUAAAGAAAGUAAUUUUUGGAAUCCAAACUUGCACUAUAAAGAAGCCCAACAUCAGCCUCCACAAAACUAAAAAGUUUAAAAUCACAAAUAAAUCAUGAAAAAGUAUAUAUUCAAGCGAGUUGAAAUUAAAUUGAACUGAUCCCAAACUUGAGAAUUAAAGGAAGAAGUGAGUGGAAUCCAAACCUACACUAUAGAGAAGCCCAACAUCACAGUAUAUUUAUGCAAUAACUUUAUUAAAUUUAAAGGAAGAAGUGGGAGAUUAAAAAGCACUAUAGAACAUAGAAAAUCUAGAAGCCACAAUCUGCAGUAAGCGUAGUCAUCAAAAUACAUAUUUAAAUAGACUAGUGAGUAGCUUUAAACCAAAAUGCAAAUAUGAAAUAAGCGACGCAUAGGAACGAGACGGUUACAAAAAUCAUGCGCGCAUACAUAAUCAUGAGUUACAAAAUGAGCAGUAGCAAGGCUCGAAACUUUUCUUUUGACCUUCAACAAUAAAACUAAGGGAGCCGAUGUGCCAUUGGAUGGAUCGGUUUCUGUAUUUGGUGGAAUAGUGUAACGACCCGACCAGCCAGCAAUAAUAACUCAUUGGGCCCAAACAACCGGUCCAAAAUGCUUAAGCUCAGUUAUUAUGUCUAGCCCAAUCAAGCUUAUAUACUUCCACAUCUAGCCAUAACUACCUGAUGUGGGACUGUUGGGGUGUCACAGACUCCCUUCCGUUUAGGCCCUGACGUUCUCGUCAGCCCUGAACACACACACAAUCCAAGAUCACUAGGCGAUGUGAGACUUGUCUCGCUAGCCUUUGUCAUUCUGGCCUUGACUAAGUCUGUCAAUUACCGACCCUGGCUUAGUCUGUCAUUCUGAUCCUGGCUCAGCCAAGACUCAUCUCACAAUUCCAACUGGUGAACUGGCUCUGAUACCAAAUGUAACACUCCGACCAGCCAACAAUAAUAACUCGUUGGGCCCAAACAACAGGCCUAAAAUGCUUAAGCCCAAUUAUUAUAGCUAGCCCAAUCAAGCUUAUAUACUCCGACAUCUAGCCAUAACUAUCCGAUGUAGGACUAUUGGGGUGUCACAAAUAGGAAUCAGACGGUUAAUCACAGCAUGGCACUCUUCAAUAGCACGACGUAUCUGGACAUGCUCGAUCACGAACUCAUUUAUCUGUGCAAGAGUAGCGACGUAACAAUCCUUCACAAAGUUAUACUCACGAACCAAGUUCAUAUACUGUGCGAACAACAUAGCAUACUUUGUGGCUAGAUGAUUGUAUAAAUUUUUGUAAAAGAUACUAUCAUCAAAAUUUACAUCUCUAACUUGCAAAUCUAAUUCCUCCACCAUCCUCUUAGUAGCAACACGAGCAGCAUCAUGCUCAGCCUCAGCAGAUGUGGAGGAUUGCAACCCCCAACAUCGUACAAUUUCAAUUAUAGAUUCAUUUCGUUCAAUCGGAAGAUCUAUAUAUGCCAGGUAAGUCCCCUCUGCAGCGGGAGCAACAACACACUGUGAUGUUUCCAUAUGCAGCUUCUCACAAAUCUCACGGAACAAUCGAAGGUAAGAAAGCUGAACCGUCGACAUAGUAGUAGCUGCAAAAGAAGAAGGCCGAGGAAAAAAGAAAGGGAAAAGGGAGGUAAAAGAGAAGUUAGUUGUAAAAAAAUACCAGGUCUUAAAAAAUAGGGUAAGACAGUUGUUAAAGCUAAAACGCAACAGCAAUUGCAAAAGUAAAUAGUAAAGAAUUAGCAGAGCAAGAAUAGUUGCAAGGAAGACAAAAUAAUAGAGAGCUUAAAAAGUAAUAAAGUAAAAAGCUAAAGGAUUCAUCUUACUUAAAGAAGAACUUUGACAGUAAUAAAGUAAAAAGGGAAAAAGAUUUAGCUUAGGUAAUAAAAGAAGUUUUAAAAAUAUUGAGAAAGUACUGCUGAAAAAAUGCUAUAUAAUGAAACCUUCACAAUAGAGGGUAAGACAGAAUAGUUGGAAAGAAGCCUAAGUAAUAGAGAGCUUAAAAAGUACUAAAGUAAAAAGGAAAAAUGAUUCAGCUUACUUAAAGAAGAAUUUAAAAAGUAGCAAAGUAAAAAAGAAAAAGGAUCGGCCUACGUAAUAAAUGGAGUUUUAAAAAUAUUGAGAAAGACUGCUGAAAAAAUGCUAUGUAAAGAAACCAGGAGAAAGUAUUUGAAAUGAAAGUAAGAAAGUAACCAGAAGAAAAUAUUUGAAAUGAAAGCAAGGCAAAGGCAAGGAAAUCUGCAAGGCUCAGGUAAGGUAGGCAAGUACUUUAAUCCAACAGGAUUGAAGAACCCUCAAGGCAAACAACAGAAUAUUCAUAAUUGAUCUAUCAGUAUUGAAAAGAGGCAUGCAACCCAUCAGCGAAAGAAGAACCCCCAAGGCAAAUAAUCUGAAAAUAGGAAGUGGCUGCCUAUGUUAAGGCCGUCCAAACUUCUAUUUGUUCAUGCCUGCUUUUCGUAACUUUUAGUAUUUUGCAUUCUUUGUGCCUGACUUUCAUCAUUGCCUAGCAGAUGAAAAUAGAAAGUGGUUGCCUGUAAUAAGGCUGUCCAAACUUUUAUUUAGUAUAAGACACCACUUUCUAGCACACGGGCAAGGAAGAAAAUAGAAGGAGUAGGAGCAAAAACCAAAAAGCUAAAAGUCAGUGCAAGUUCGAAAAGACAAUAAAUCGAAACUCAUAAUACGAAAUACAGAAAGAAAGUUGGGCAAAGCCGGCCUUUAAAAAAUCAGUAAAGAUGGCCCAUGAAGAACAGAAAACUUUAUAGCCAUGGUUUUUAGAAAUGAAUAAACCUUUCUACAGAUAGAUAAGAGGAAACCACACUGGCAGUACUCUAUUUCUGUCUUUAUCUAGACAACAUUUAUCUACUACAGAAAUUAAAAGGAGAGGAGAAGCAACCCAAGAACAACCUCUGUGAGUAUGCAGUAAAGUACAAACUAAUGAAGGGGCCUGCAAAACAGCACAACUAUUAUUAGUUAUUAUUAGCAGAAUAAAGAGAGAGUAAUUACACAAGUAAUUAAUGUUUUGAAGUCAGGAAUAUACCUUCUUGUCUUGGAUUGAGGAGUACAAUGUCGCAUGCAGUAAGUAACAAAUGUGUUCAGACCCACAGACCCAUAGGAGUGAAGAGGGUGUGAGUGGUAAGAAUAAUGAUGUAGAAGAUCUUUCUUCAAAAGAAAGAAUCUAUGCAAUCUUUUAAAACUGUAACCAGAUUCAAAACUCUAACCAGAUCUGUAAAAAAAAUAAAAUAAAUAUAAGCAGAUUUGCAAGAACUUCUCAAAAUCAUAGAGGCUAGGUUUAGAUAUAGGAGCAUCUAUAUCGAUGAGGAUUCACUGUAAGAUAGAAGAAAAGCAGCGCAGGGACAAAAAGAAGGGAGAAAAGGGAAAAAUGUAUAAAAUCCAUUCAAAAUCUAAAAGGAGAAGAAAUGAAUAAAAAUGUAUAUAAAAUCCAGUAAAAAUUAGAUAUAAUCCAUUUAAAAAUGCAUAUAAAAUCCAAUAAAAAUAUAAAAGAAGAAGCAAUGAGUAAAAAUUUGUUGGAACUCUCAUAGAUCUAAGGGCAAGAUGUAUAUAAAAAUCCUAAAAAUAUAAAAUAAACCCUCAAAGCUCUAAAAAUAGCCAGGUAGGUUGCUCAUCACCCGCGGUCGAAUGGAGCGGCGAAGCGAUCCAGAGAGGCAUCGGAGUUGGGGACUAUGAAGGAGUGCCAGGAUAGGUCGAUCCAAUCAACCGGGGGAGCGAAGAGAGAGGCCUCGAAAGAGGUGUACAGAGAGAAGUAUGGGCACCAUAGAGAGAAGAGAGAGAGAGGGGAUAGGGCAGUAAUCAGAGAAGAGAGGCAGGAAGAGGAGAGACUGAGAGAGAGAUAGAGGAUAGGGCAGGCAUCAGGAAAGAGAGGCAGGGAGAGAAGAGACGCCUCGAAAGAGGCGUAUACCGAGGAGAGAGAGCGCGAGAGAGAGAGAGGAUAGGGCAGUCAUUAGAAAAGAGAGGCAGGGUGAGUUGAGAGCGAGAGAGAGAUAGAGAAUAGGGUAGGCAUAAGAAAGAAAGGCAGGGAGAGGAAAGACGCCUUGAAAGAGGCGUAUACCGAGAAUAUAGAGCAAGAGAGAGAGAUAGGGAAGCAGAGAGAGACAUAUAGAUAGCGCCUAAAAGAAAAGGAAAAAAGGUUUAUACGACGUGGAGGUGGGAAAAGCCACCACGUAUACUGAGGAAACCGUCAAAUUAUGAAGUUGUAUGGAUACUUUUUUUUAUAUAUUUAUAAUUUUUCAAACAUUUUAUUUUUAUAAUUAUUUUUUCUUACUAUUCAAUCAACCAUUUAUUUAACCUUAUAAAACCACUAUCAUUCAAAUUAUAUAUUAUACAUUUCUUCACUCAACGGUAGAAAACUUAUGAUUAUAAAAAAAAAUAUUAAUUCUAACUAAAUUUUUAAUAUAAUAUAUUUUAAAAUAUACUAAAAAAUAAUUAUUUUCAGUUCGGAUUCUAAAUUCUUUGAUCAAAUUUGAUUUAAGUUAGAAAUUUUCAAAAUUGGAAUUUAGGUUCCAGAUUGGAUUGUCAGUUUGGGUGUGGAUUUUUUAAAAACUCACCCAUCCGAAUCCGACCGUUUGACUUCCCUAACUUAGUUACUUUUUUUUUUUUUAAUACAAAUUUAAUUUUUUAAAAACAAACGAAUAAAUACUAUCUUUUUAUUAAAAAAAAAAAAAAAUCCUCGGUCCAGCUCAACCACUCCCAUUCGCUUCUUCUUCCUCGACUCCAACGCCUCCACAACUUCAUCUCCCUCCCCCCGCCCCUGCAGUCUGUCAUCGCAUCUCCUUUUCUAAUUACAAAGAAGAUGCUGAUGCUGAUAGACUGCUCCCGCUGCCGCACGCCGCUGCAGCUGCCGGCGGGGGCGCGCUGCCUGCGCUGCGUCGUCUGCGGCGCCGUCACCUACGUCGCCGCCGCCGCGGCCGACGGCCCCCCUCCCCCGCCAUCGCCCUCCCCUGAUCGUUCCAAUAAUUAUGGCUUCGGCGCCACCGCCCCUCCGUGGGGGCCUUCGCAGCCCCCGCCCAGCCCCCACGGGCGGAAGAGGGCAGUGAUCUGCGGCAUCGCCUACCGGAACACCCGGAACGAGCUCAGGGGCUCCAUCACCGACGCCGCCUACAUGAAGCACCUCCUCGUCAACCGCUUCAAGUUCCCCGAACCCUCUAUCGUCGUGCUCACGGGUACGCACUUGCUGAAAUUACAGCUCUAAUUUGAUUCUCUUAUGGUGAUGAUGAUGAUGAUGAUGAUGAUUGUGUUGGGGCGAGAGGUUGUUAAAGGAACUUUUAAAUUGUAAUGACUCAGCCCGCUAGUAUUAACACGGACUCAAAAUGUUUAAGCCCACUAGUUGAUAAUGGAAUGCUAGGCCCAAUUAGGGCCGGCAAUCCUGCUUGCUGCUCGCGAGCCAAUUCGUAUUCGGCUCAAAAUGAGCUCGAGAUUGAUCGAUCGUUUAACAACCGACCCGAACACGAUGAAUUUUUCAGCUUGAAAUAUUAACGAGCCGAACACGAGUGCGUCAAUUCACUCAUGUUCAACUCGAUAUAGCUCAAAUCGAUGAUGGAACAUCCGAUUCGACGAUCGGUUUUGUUAGACAAGAUCUGCAGUGUUAGAACUUUUUAGAAACCAAAUUUUGUAAUUUUUUAACUUCGUAUCCUUAAAAUGAACGGCUGGAAAUAAAAAUCUCAUAAAAAAUAAUGAUAACAGACUCAAAUUUUAAACUAGUAGUAUUGAUCUUGCUUUUGAUGUUAAAUAGAAUUUUCUAUUAAAGUUUAUGUAAUUUGGAUUCUUUUACACUGUUGAACUUACAAACGUGCCACAUCGACCGUUAAAAUAGUCAUUUUCAAGACCCUUUGAUCACUUGGUAAAUGAUGUUGAAAAAUUAUGAAAUUUGGUUUCUAAAAUCUAAAUAGUUUUAAUAGCGUAGAUCAUCUCUAACGAAGCCGAUUGUCGAAUUGGAUGUGCUAUUAUCGAAAACAACUUACAAGCAAAAUGACCUCUAUCCUUUAGAAAGCACAAGAGACGUACUCUCUCUCUAUAUAUAUUACAAAUUUCUACUAUUUGGAUUUUAGGUCAACCCAAAUGUAAAUAGACCUAUAUUUUGUGAAUUUUAAAUAUUAGAUUAAGAUUCUAAUUUUUUAAUUCUCUUUAAAAUUUUCAUUUAGUAGCAAGGCUAAUAAUUUAACUUGUUGUUCGCCAGCCUGUUCAGCUCAUUAAUAAACAAGCCGAACACGAGAUAAAUUUUUUAGCUCGAUAUUUUAACGAGCCAGCUCGUGUUCGGCUUGUUAAAUAUAUAAACAAACACUAGACGACUCCAACUCGCUCGUGUUGGGCACGUCGAUAGCCCUAGGCCCAAUCACGAUGUGAGACCUAGCUCACAUUUUUGGCUAGCAAGCUGGCUCUGGUACCACCAAAAUAAUUACCCAGCCUGCUAGUACUAGCAACUUGUUGGGAAGCCUACUUAUUUAUACUAGAGUGCUUUGCAUAUAUACUCCCAUAUUGAGCCUCUUCCCCAUCUAAUAUGAAACUCUUGCUAUGUCAUGCGAUUACUCUAAAGGCUUAAGCUUCCCUAUCCGAUUGGAUUUGAAUUCAGGAUCCGAUUCUUUAAUACAGUGCGAAAGAGCCUACUAUUCUAAAAGUUUAAACAGUUAUAGAACGGCAUUUUUAAUCAUUUAUAUUCAAUAGUUACACUGAACUUUAGGGACUUUCAUUUUCUACACUUUUUUUCUGAAGUUCUUCACAAAUCUUGCAUUAUAUAUGCCAAUCCCUUAAUUUGUUAAUGAAUGAUAGCUGACGUUGGGCACAGUUAUUGUAGUUGGAACCUAUCUACUUUUCUUAGUUAAUUCUUCUCUUAAAUGCAAUAGUUGUCUCUUUUUUUAAAAAAAAAGGAAAUCAAAUGUUGAGUGAAUUGUCUAUUCUCGGAUGCCAUUCAUUUGAGAAGUUAACAGAAUCUCUAAACUUAAUUAAGAAAACUCUUAGAUAUUUAACUCCUGAAAUCAAUCUUACUCAAUCUUCCUAAUUUUCUCCGGAGACUUGGGCUUCUAUGUCUUCAACAUAGUUUGAUUUUCUCCUUCUUGAACUUUGUCACCUUCGUAGAAAACUUCUUGAAUUUUUGCUAGUGUUUUCCCCGCUUCUCGUGUUGUUUUUGCUGUUAAAAUAUUCUCAACCAAUGACAAAUUCACUAUUUGGUAAAUAUAUGGUAAAACUUCUGUCUCUUUCUCUAAAUUUUUCUUUACCAAAUUCUUUCUCAUAAUUUCUAUUCUCUACCACAUCCGACAAAUUUUGGGAUUCUAAAAUACAUUGAACGAUGAUUUUCCAUCGCUUAAUGUUCGUUCCAUUGAACUUUGAUAAGCCAUGUUGAAGAAACCAAUCCAAAUCCAUAAUAGAACUCAAAAAUCCAAAAAGAAUUUUAGAUUCGUACCUUUUUAAUAAGAUGACAUUCUUACUGUAUCGAGAUCUAGCCGAGUUUUCACUUUUCCGUACUUCGACUUGCUUGCCGAGCCCCCUUAGUUAUCUGGUCAAGUCUUCUUUUAUCUCUUCAUAGGCUCUUCUUGCUCUCUUUUCAUCAAGCGUCACAACCACCUACUUUUGUGUUGUUUGUAGGCCGCCUUCUUCGAGGUUGUGUGUUGUUUAGAGGCCGACUUCGUCGAGCGAUUAUUUUAGUUGCUUUCACUUGAACGUCGCCCUCACAAUCUGCUAUGAGUCGUCUAGCUUUGACAUAACUAUUUGGCACUUUGGUUCUAUCUAGCUCUUUUCAGCUUUGUUGUCAUCUGACUUUGAUGUCGUUCAACACUAUACUAUUCUUUCCAUCUCUGAUACCAAUUGUUGAAAUCGGUACUUGCGUUGUUACCGAUUUUAUAAUCCAGGAUCUAAAAUACUAAAAUAGAAUAAUAUGGAAAAGAGACAUUGGAGAAGGAAGAUAAAUAAACUAAUACUUACAUAUUGAGGGACCCUAAUAAAUCUCAACUACUGCUUGGCCCUGGCUUCAUUAAGCCGUCAACUUACCUGGCUCAUAUCUCGGCCGUGAGUUUCUAAUCCACAGGUCCAUACAUAUAUAUAGGCCUCAACAAAGUAUCAAUCCCGAUCUAAAUUCAACUUCAAAUCGUAAUAACAAUCAAAUAAUUGAGCAUUAAACUUAUCUCUAAUUAUACAUUGGAAUUAAAUUUGGAUCAUUAUUCCAACAUGAUGAUCAGAGAAUUUGAGAUAUUUCAAUGGGAACUUCUUCAGCAUUUUCUUUCAACUCUGAACGGAGUUAUCUCUAAAAUGAGAGUGUAGCAGUUUUGGGUGGGUAAGUACGCAGAACUAUUGGAAAGCUCCUUUUCUUUUUGAUUUUGAAUUUAAACCAUAAUAAACUGGUCUGGACGUUUAUUAGUUUAAUAGAAGCCUGGAGCCCUAUUAUCAUACCAUAGAUUUUCUCUUUAGAAAACUAAAUCUUUUGUUUGGAUAUAUAGGCCAUGAAAAUCUCAAUGUCCAUGCAAGUUAAGCUACUUAGAUGGCCCUUUUUGUUUCUGCCGUCAUCAACUCUGAUUUUCAAUUUUCACAAUGAAACCGAACAAGUUUUAUAUACAACCUGGUCUGAAAUUUUUGGAUCUUGACUAAGAACAUUUUUGAUGGUGAGCCUAAAUGCUUAUGACUCUAGCUAUAAGCAGCUCUAACUAAUCGUAUUUUGAUUUUGCAGAUGACCAAACUGAUCCAUAUAGAAUACCAACCAAACAUAAUAUAAGGAUGGCAAUGUAUUGGCUCGUGCAAGGAUGCCAACCAGGAGACUCUUUGGUAUUCCACUACUCUGGUCAUGGUUCACAGCAGAGAAACUAUACCGGCGAUGAGAUUGAUGGUUUUGAUGAGACCCUUUGUCCGUUGGACUUUCAAACACAAGGAAUGAUUGUUGACGAUGAGAUCAACGCGACCAUCGUCAGACCGCUUCCUAGUGGGGUUAAGCUUCAUGCUUUUGUUGAUGCUUGCCACAGUGGCACUGUGCUGGAUUUACCUUUCCUUUGCAGAAUGAAUAGGUCAGUUUUUUUUUUUUUUUUUCUUUUUUUUUUAAGCAGCUUCUAUUCUAGUAGUUAUUUGCUUGUGACACAGUCUUCGUGUGCUUAGAGCUUCUUGUUCAAGAAUUUAAGGUGCCUAUCGGCACGGGCCCUGCCCAACAUGCUGUUCCGUAUCGACAAGAUAUCGGCACAAUACAACCAUCAUGCCAAUGACACAGCUCAAAAUCUUCUUUUAUUUGAAAUUAGUGAAUAGUUAUAUCAAUAGAAUGCAAAAGAUUUAAUAAAAAUAUGUAAUAAGCAAUUAGACUAUAUCGUUGCUGAAGAAAAUAAGUAUUUUAAGCCAUAGUGUGUCAACAUAUAGGUACUUUUUCAAGCGUCAAAUAUCGGUAUGGCAGGGAUGCACCGUGCCAUUCCGUGCGUCUGUGCUAGCAGUUCUUGGCAUGACUCCAUGCCACUCCAUAAAUCCUUGCUUUUGUUGUUUACAAGGCUAAACUUCAAAAUCGGCACUGUGGUAUAGUGCAUUUUCGCGUUGGUGCACUAUGGAUUCUUUUCUAUCACAUAGGUGCCCUGAGUUUGGUAUUGAAAUUAUUCCUCAAGGACCUUUUUUCUAGCCCUGUUGGUAUUUGUGUGUGUUUCCAGUUCAAAUCGUUGUUGGCUCGGUUUUUUUAAGUCUAAACUCAACCGAGAACCCGAAUGCAAGCCCAUCUUAUAAGGGGUUUCUGAUUAAGUUUGAAUCAGAACACGACCUAAGCCCUGACCUAACACGACCCAACCUGUUUAUAUAUAUAUAUAUAUAUAUAUAUAUAUAUAUAUAUAUAUCCGAUCCCAACUAAAAACUUUUGAAGCUCUAAAUCGGGCACCUAAAUUAUACAGAGGAAAUCAAAGGAUGCUGACAUAUUCAUGGGCUAUACUAUUGGAUCAUUUUCUGAAGUUAAUGCUCGUUAUAAACAGAUCCUCCACUUAUAAAGAAUUGUCUAAGAAAGUUUAUAAGUAUUUAAAUUACAGUUUUCAGUUCACUAAAUGUGAACAACUAGCCAAAUGUAAUCAUCAACUUUUUUCUAUU
rnacentral:lncRNA from 1 species